UGUUCGCCCGCUCGGAAUUCGGGGCGUGACAGGUGUGCAAGCAGAAUAUGAGUAAAGACAAGCGCCCAAGAUGGGAAAAAGGAGGAACACACCCUUUCGGAGCUAAAUUCGGACAAUUCGUGCACACAGGGUCAGUACUAAAUUCAAUGCAAGGCUCUUCUUCCUUGUCGUUCUGCCCAAUAUCAGAAACACUGGAUUCUGAUGACAAACCAGCAGCUUUAUCGGCAACCAUUCCUUCAUCUGAACGAUUGGUCCUUUGUUCAAGAAGGUAAAACAUGUCAUUGGCAAUUGGAUGACCACUAAACUGCAAAUGUACUCGUGUCUGCACAUAAAGAGCAGGGUUAAGAGAAGAGAGUACUGCAAGUACAAGCAUAUAUCAAAUAAACCUCACAAAUUAAAAGAUAUAAAAAACAGGCUGACUUAACCAAAUGCAGAGAGGUAUAUAAUAAGCAGGACCCGAAAGUAUCUUCCAAAAUGAGUAGGACAGUUUAUGGAGAGACAAAAGUGAAGAAAAGAAAGCGCACAUGACUCAAAAAGUUAACAGUAAAUGCAAUGUCCUUCCUAUAUGUGUGGGUACAUCUGUGCAUGCAAUUGACCUUGGCUACAUUAAGGAAAAACAACCAAGGAAGGUUCACUGCUUAUGAAAUAGAAAAUAGGAGGUAUCAGACUCUCAACAUGGUAUUUGCAUCCUUUAGCAUCAUAUUGCCUUACCUGAUGAGUUCUUCCGGUGACUGGUUCACAGAGAACAAUGCUAUGAGUUCCAUCAGUGCUGAUCCUUGUGAACUUUGUACAAGCGGCCUUUCCUUUCAAGAGGGCAGUAUCACAAGUAGGGUCACCCGCCUGUACAAAGAGAUGAUAUUGACCAGACUAAUGGUAUUAAGCACGCUCUUCCAUUCACUGCCAACGCUCUAAUGUACUGAUUGAAAUUAAGACACGACCAUGAAACAGUCAGGGCAGAUGUAUUCUAAAUGUAGAAUGAAAAGAAAGCUCUAAGAGCAGUCAUACAUUGCGAGACACCAUGCCACGUGGACCAGGAGAAGGGUGGCAGUUGACAUCCUACCACCAUUUUCAAUUUCCUUAGAGAUUAAAAAGCCUUUCUAUGACGACUCAUCCAUAUAAAAUCCAAAUCACAUACUAUUGGGUCGAAAGGAGCUGGUAAAGUGAGACAGCAUAUGUGCUAAUGAAUAGGGAAACUGUAGCUUCUUGCUUUUGGCUGCCAGUAUUUAGAUUUGCUGUUUCAUGUACCAAGGCUCACAGAUUUUGCAUAAGCCAGCACUAUGUCACGAGCUUGGAGCUCUUAACUUCUGACAAAUUUAGUUCGGAUUACCAUCACACGUUACUUUUCAAUUCCAUUUCAAACAGUGUGUCGUGCAUCACCAAGAUAACAGUCCACAGUGGCUCAUAAGGAUAUAAAUGUUCCUAAAAAGUAUUGAGAGGCCAUCAUAAAUGGAUAUUUACAAAAACUAUAUAGUUAUUUUUACAUGCCUCUGUAAGAAUGUUAAGAAAGGGCAUUAGCUUCCAUUUAUAGCACUCUGAUAACAUUCAAAAUUGCAUCCCAUUAUGAAUUCAUAUUGGUUAGUCACAAAAACCUUCCCUUACGAAGGAAAGAGAGAAAAAAGAAAGAAAGGAGAAAAAAUCAGUACACAAGGAAGGCAUCACAUAAUUUUCAUUGAAAAGCAUUAUCAGAAAGCCAUCAUUUCAAGACCCUUCUCCAACACCCAGAUGCUCAGUUUCAUUUCUGUAACCUCACGUAAUACAGUGAUUGAUAUAAAUUUAAACUCAGAAAAAGGUUGAAAUAACAAGGUUUUGAGCGAAUACUCGCCUCCGCUGUACUACGCCUUCUCGAGUACUGUAAUUGAUGUGGACAUUGACCUCCAGCUAACAAGAAACCCUAGAACACAUAAAUCAGAUGAGAAAUAAUAAGAAUGCAUUUCUGAUACCACAUUCUCUAUAACUUUUUCACGUGAUCUAACUAGCCUCCUGGAUCUUCUGAAGGGAGGACCCAAACGAAAAAGGACUAGUUGAUUGUGUUCAUAAAUAAGUGGAUCUUCCUUGGGUUUGAUAAAAUGAUAUGGGAAACCACAGCUGGAUCUUUCAUCAAUAAUAACUGAAGAUGUCACACAAGAUGUGCAGUUGAUUUUUAACAACUAACCCUCUCCCACUCAAAAGGAGUUUUAUAAUUACUACAAUAUUUUGAGUUUUAUAAUUACUAAAAUCUAUGUGGAUAAAUUUUACCAAAAAAAAAAUUCUAUGUGGAGAAAAAGAACACAUGCAGACUUGUCCUUUCAGCAUUACCUCUUCUCAAGACAACUCAACAAACAAAAAGAAAAUAAUCGAAUUGGAAUAAAGAAAUCCCGUUGCUAGAUUGAGUACAUCUACUUAAACAUCUCAUAAUUCCAAUUCUUAAGGGUUAAACUCCCUGAUGUAGCACUGUACUGCAGGAUUUUUCAGUUCGUAAAUUAUCCACUUUUAGUGCAUAUUCCCAAAUCAACAGAUUGAAGCAAGAGAUACCUCAUUCUCAGGAAAUUCACCCACCACCUUUGCAAUGUACUGUUUCUGCACCAAACCACCUUCAAUCUGAAGAUAUUAAAUGUCAGUUGAAACUUAAAUUUUAGGCUGAAUAUCAAGUGUACCUCGCCACAUCACAAAUAUGAUGUAUAAACACUUAAAAGUAUAUAAGAGGAUAUUCUAGAUAAUUUUUACUCAAGGGAAUGAAGUCAGCAGCAGAAAUAGUACGUGAUAGCACUACUGCUAUUAGGAGAAACAGUCACCAGACAUGGAUUAGAACUCCACAGACUGAAGAUAUAUACAAAGGAAAUGCACAUCACAGAAAGAAACUAUAUGACCUCUUUAAGUCACUCCAUAAGGUAGAUGUACAUGACACAGUGUGAUGAUAUUACAAACAAUGAACAAGAUGUCGCAACACAGCAGCAUGCUCAGAGAACUAGCACUACCCUUGUUGUAAAUGUAAGAGAGCCCCACUUCCUUUUAGGCAAUUGACCACCCACAAGUAUUGCAGCUAAUAGGAAUUUACAUUAGUAAGGGUUCCAAAAGCACGCUUUUCAACACAACACUCACCUGUUGCCUGAAAAGAUCUGCUUUUGACGCGUUUCUGGCAAAUAUAAGGAGUCCGGAGACCAGGCAAUCUAGUCGGUGAACAGCUUGCAUUAUAAUAUCAAGGAGGAUGUACGGAAUCCAUAAUGUGGAUGUGUCACCAGAUAUAGGUCAGAAGAGGGAAAAAGAGUUAAUGAUAGACAUCAAGAAUCACAAGGAAACAGAAUAUGCCCAAUCUGAUUUCGAUAGAGCCAAGAAUGCAUAUACAUGUGAAAGAGCUUCUUGGGAUACGAAAUAGGGGUGCCAGCCCAUGCUCUGCCUGAAGGAUGCCAACCACAGUGUUUUUACGAUACUGACCACACGGAUGCACCUAUAAACAAGUCGAAAUUUCUAUAAACAUAGAUCCUAUAAGGCCAAAAGAGCUAGCUAGACCAAGCAAGCCUGUUGUAACCAUAUUACUGUCUGAAUCUCACCAGUGAUUUUACAGCACUCAUGCAAAAUCCACACGAAAUCACUCUCUUGUUGUUCAUUUGAAAUGAGGGAAAACAUAAUUGUGCUGUUCCUUACUGGAAUAGAUGCCACCUUACAGUCACCACAUCCGGUUCUUUCUGUAGGAUGGAGACACAUGGCUCAUCACAGGAGGCUCAUGCCUACAACCUUAUCAACAUUAACACAUAUUCAAAGAAUACCCUAAAACUUCUAGAAAAAAACUGUAAAUUAAGAUUAGAAUUCUUAACUCGUGGGUGAAGAAAGAAUAAAGAAGCCUGAAGAAACAAAAAAGGUAAAGAAAGGGAAUCUAAGCAAAAGAAACUGAUGCAGCCAAAGGGAUAUAUCAUCGCUAGAUUAGACUCUUGAAAAGCAACAUUUCAUAAGGAGAUCAUAGCAAGUGUAAAGCUCAAACCAACCUGUGUACAAAGUGGCUUACUUUUUCAGACGAUUUUACAAUGUAAGAGAUAGGAAAGACCCUCCCCUCGACUUGUGUCCGUCCACAUUCAACGGCACUGACCUACAGGUUAUGACUAGGCAUGGUUAAAAGUCAUGGUCACAUGCAGAACUAAACAUUCGUUAUGCAAUGAAGAAAAUGCUUACAUAAUACUCAUAGGGUCUGCCUUUGAACUCGUGGGCAAACAAAUCCACAAUGGUUUUGCCAGCCCAGCGGCUCUUGACCUAUAAUACAUCAUAAUUCAUAACAAGAAAACCAGCCAAAUUGAGAGCUCCUGGUUGAAGCGAAAAAGGGCUUAACGAGGGUCUUGACCAAAUAAAAGUUCGAUCGCAAGUAAAGCAUGCAAACCACUCCACUCCAGAAGAAGAAAGACGAGAUAGCGACGACUCACAUGAGAGAUGAACUCGAAGUGGUAGGGUGCGACGUAGCGCCUCCCCGCAUUCUCUUCAUAGAUCAGUCAUCUUUUCGAUCUCUCUACUGGCAAGAAUCUAUAAAACAAUGAUGACCCAUGAAAGAAAAAUACUCUGUCAAGAGUGAGGUCACGACAUAAAUGAAUUACCUUCGCGAAAGAUGUAAUGUUGGCGCUCCGGCGGAUUCAACGGAGUCUGCCACACGACCUCCCCCUCCUCCCCCUCCUUCUUCCUUUCUCUUCCUCUUCAUUUUCCUGCGACCAUCGACCGCCUAGAAACGACGGCGCUGGGGAGGAAUAUGAUGCGUCAAAGUAAAAGGCGCUUCCUUUAUCCCAUCUGAGGUAAGCGGGAGCUGCAGUGGCAGAGACAAGGCGACGUCGUUCCAGCGUUCCAUCCCGUCUGUCCGUCCGACACUACUCUAGUCUUUAUUUUGGUCUUCGUUUCCAGUCUCGUUUGGUGACUCGCCAACAAACCGACACCAUGUUAAAAAUAAAAAUCAAAUGCGGAAAAACAUGAUCAAUUAUAGAUAAACCUCCAGCCAUUGUCCGUAUUCACGUUCGUUGGAAAAUCAUGAAAAUUCAAAAAAUAUUGGGCACACUCUACUAACCCAAUUCCCUUAUAUACUAAUGAUGUAUUCCAAAAUUGAGAGGGUUUGUGUUAGACCUUGUGAUCACCCAAUUAGAAAUGAACGAUCAUUCCUUUUAUAUACCGUCUCCCAUCAAGACGGUUACUAAAUGGGCAAUUAUCACGAAAAGGUACGAAGCAUGGAAACACUACAUGUCGAAUAACCGCCACUUUAAAGAAAAAAUGUGAGUCCGAAAAUAUGGAAUCACAUAAUAUAAAUAACAUUCUCCCACUUGAUCCCAUCAUUUUCAUCAUACGGAUUAUCCAACCAAUUCCACGAAAAACUUUAUGCUUAAAGAAAAGAAACAAAACACAUGGAUCAUGGCGACAUGUCCUCUAAGAGUGAGUAAUAUCUUUCAUGUACCACAAUGCAUUUUAUUUCUUUAAUGUCAGCCUAUAUGUGACAACACAUCUUAAUGAAUAAACCAUAUAUUUAUUCCAAAACCAAGGAUAAAUGUUAUUCUCAUAAAUAAACAACAAAUUGUGUACACCAAAAAUUGAGAAUCAACAUUACAACAGAAUAAGAGUUUCAUACAACAAAAAUCGUCCAUAUGUCGAAAAAUCACAUGAUAGGACCUAUUCCCAUACUAGUUACAUGAUCCUUAUACUCCAUCGAUGGCAUGCCUUUAGUUAAAGAAUUAGCUAUCAUCAAUUCAGUGCUAACGUGUUCUAAGAUCACUUUAUUCUCCUUAACACGUUCCCUUAUGGCUAAAUACUUGAUAUCGAUGUACUUACUUCGACUGCUACUUUUGGCAUUUUUAGCCAUAAAAACCACAGCUGAAUUGUCAUAAUAUAUUCUUAAUGGCCUAGAAAUAGAAUCAACAAUUCUAAGCCCAAUAAUGAAACUCUUUAACCAUACACCAUGCGAGAUAGCCUCAAAAUAAGAAACGAACUCAGCCUCCAUAGUAGAAGUAGCAAUCAAAGUAUGUUUCGCACUUCUCCAUGACACUACUCCGCCUGCUAACAUAAAAAUGUAUCCAUAUGUUGAUUUUCGUGAAUCAACGCAGCCCGCGAAGUCCGCAUCCGAAUAACCGACUACUUCCAAGUUAUCAGUCCGUCUAUAUAUAAGCAUGUACCCUUUGGUACCUUGAAGAUAUCCCAUCACUUUCUUUGCAACUCUCUAGUGGUCCAUACCUGGAUUACUCUGAUAUCUUCCCAACAUUCCCACAGCAAAAGCGAUGUCAGGUCGAGUGCAAACCUAAGUAUACAUCAAGUUUCCAACAGCAGAAGCAUAUGGAAUGUUAUUCAUUUGUUCCCUUUCUAGAUCGUUCGUCGGGCAUUGGUUCAAAUUGAACCUGUCACCCUUCACAAUGGGUGCUAUACUUGGUGAACAAUCUUUCAUCUGAAAUCUCUCUAGAACCUUAUUGAUAUAGGUUUCUUGAGAUGGUCCUAAAAUUCCUCGAGAUCUAUCUCUAUGGAUCUUAAUGCCAAUGACAUAAGAUGCCUCACCCAUAUCCUUCAUGUCAAAACUCUUAGAGAGAAAUUGUUUCAUUUCAUAUAGCAACCAUUUAUCAUUAGUUGCAAGUAUAAUAUCAUCCACAUAUAGCACAAGGAAACAAAUUUUGCUCCCACUAACCUUCUGGUAUAUACAUUGAUCUAUGAUAUUCUCUACAAAACCGAAUGAAAAGAUGACAUCAUGGAACCUUAAGUACCAUUGGUAGGAUGCUUGUUUCAAGCCAUAUAUAGAUUUCUUAAGCUUGCACACCAAAUGCUCACAUUUACUAGAGGAGAAUCCUUCAGGUUGUUUCAUGUAAACCUCCUCCUCUAGUUCUCUAUUGUGGAACGCCGUUUUCACAUUCAUCUGAUGUAAUUCCAUAUCAAAAUGGGCAACCAAUGCCAAAACAAUACGAAGAUAAUCUUUUUUAGAUACAGGAGAAAAAGUCUCCGUGUAAUCGAUUCCUUUUUUUUGAGUGAAUCCUUUGGCAACGAGUCUAACUCUAUAUAUCUAAUGAAUCAUUCUUAGUUUUAAAGACUCAUUUGCAACCAAUGGCCUUCGCACCAUCAGGCAACUCAACCAAAUCCCAGACUUAGUUAGAUGCCAUAGAACUCAUCUCUUCCUUCAUGGCAUUGUACCACAAAUUGGAUUUAUCACUGUCCAUGGCUUGUGAAAAUGUUUUAGGAUCAUUCUCAGCUCCAAUAUUGUAGUCAGAUUCUUGUAAAUACACAAUAUAAUCACUAGGAAUUGCCGAUUUCCUUAGUCUUGCAAAUCUUAUCAAUGUUGCAUCAACAUUCUCUUGAGGAGCGUGUUGCUCAACCAGUUUUUCAACAAUUUUUGGUAAUAUCUAAACAACUAGAUCUAUUAUAUCAAUAUCAACAGGUUAUGGAACUUCAACGAUUGGUUGUUCAAUAGCCGGCUGAACUGAGGGGGUAUUAUGAGCAACAACCAACCUUAAACUUGAUGUGGAAGGUUGAGUGUCUGAAUAAUCUUUCUUAGGAACAAAGUCAUUCGAUCGAUCACUCCCACUAAUCAAGUCAUUUUUAAGAAAUUUAGCAUUUCUUGAUUCCACGAUCCUAGUGGUGUAAGACGGACAAUAAAACAUGUAUCCCUUAGACCUUUCAGCAUAUCCAAUGAAAUACCCACUUAUGGUCUUUGGGUCCAACUUAUUUUCUUGUGAAUUGUAAACUCUCACUUCAGACGGGCAUCCCCAAACGCGCACAUGUUGCAAACUCAGUUUCCAACCUUUAAAUAACUUAAAAGGUGUCUUUGGGACAGCCUUGGUUGGAACUCAGUUUAAUAUAUACACUGUUGUCUUAAGUGCUUCAGUCCAUAAGGACUUAGGAAGUUUGGAGCCACUAAGCAUACUCCGCACCAUGUCCAAUAAAGUUCGGUUUCUUCUUUCCGCUACACCGUUUUGGUUCGGAGAACCAGACAUAGUAUAUUGGGCAACUAUCCCAUGCUCUUGAAAAAACUUUGCAAAUGGACUAGGUGCUUGUCCAUCUUCAAUAUAUCUACCAUAAAAUUGUCCACCUCUAUCUGAUCUCACGAUCUUAAUUUGUUUACCGCAUUGUUUCUCUACUUCCACCUUAAAUACCUUAAAGGCAUCUAACGCUCCAUGCUUAUUAUGAAUCAAGUAGAGAUACAUGUAACAUGAGUAAUCAUCUAUGAAAGAGAUGAAGUAUUUCUGACCACACGAGUCCAUAUUCAGACUACAAAUAUCCGUAUGUAUGAUUUCUAAUAUUUAUGUACUCAUCUUGGCACAUUUAUUCGUCUUGUUGGUCUGCUUUCCCUUUAUGCAGUCUACACAAGUAUCACAAUCAAUAAAAUCUAAAGUACUGAGUACUCCAUCAUUUACCAAUCACUUAAUUCUUUCUAUGGAGAUAUGUCCCAAUCUCCGGUGCCACAACAUAGAGGAAUCUUCUUUCACAACACAUCAUUUUAUACCAGCGUUAUCAUGAACAUGCAUCACAUUAUAAUAGGCAUUGUCUUUAAAUUAAUUCGAAAAAGGCCAUCAGACAAAGUACCACUCCCAACAAUUUCACAUUUAAACAGAAAUUUGAAUCUGAAAAGUUAAAAGAGUAACUCAAAGAUACAAGUCUUAAAAUUGAAAUUAAGUUUCUAGAGAAACUAGGAACAUAAAAGGUCGUUUCCAAAUUCAAAACAAAGCCACUAUUGAGAACUAAUCUACAUGUCCCAAUAGCUUCCACAUGCGAACGCAUCUUGUUUCCUGAAUAGAUGAUUUGUUCACUUCCCACUGACUUCCUGUGGUUUUAAAAACCCUACAAGGAAUUCGAAAUGUGGAUUGUAGAUCCAGAAUCAAUCCACCAAGUGUUGUGAUUCACAUCAGCCAUAUUAGAUUCAUAAUAAACAUAAGAGAUUGGAUUACCUUUCUUCUAGAGCCAAGCCUUAAAUCUGAUGCAAUCUUUCCUUAUAUGCCCAUUCUUUUUAUAGAAGAAACAUUUGGAUUCUUUCUUAAUGUCAGCUUGGGGAGGUAUCUUACAUUUUCCCUUAUGCUUGCCAUGGCCCUUAUUCUUUCCUUGUGUUGCCAAAUGAGCACUUUCUCCCAAUUCCAUAAUCAGUCUUUCUUCCUCUUGAACACACACGGUCAUGAGUUCAUUAAUUGACAAUUUAUUCUUAUGUGUGUUGUAAGAGAUCUUGAAAGGUGCAUACUGUUGCAGGAGAGUGUUCAAAAUAUAAUACACAAUAAAAUAUUCAAAUAUCUCAACCUCAAUGUUCUCAAGUUGAGCCGCAAUAUCCCUCAUUUGCAUGAUGCGCUCACGCACACCUCUAACAUUAGUGAGCUUUAAUGAUGAAAACUUCAUAAUUAGGGUCAUGGCAUGCGUUUUCUCUAAAGUCUCAAACUAUGCAUCAAUGGCCUCCAUUAAAGCCUUAGCAUUGCUAUGCUGAGCAAUCAAACCACGAAUACUAAGAGAUAUUUUAGCCCUUAUAAACAUCACACAAACGCGAUUGGACCGCUCCCAUUGGUUAUAAAGGGCUAUCUCAGCUGCAGUGCUCAAAUCAGUAGGAGCAAGUGGUUCGUCUUUCCUUAUAGCAUAGUCAAUGUCCAUCCACCCCAAUUGAAGAAGUACUAACUCUUUCCAAACUUUAUAGUUUUCACCAUUCAAUAUGGGAACAUUACACUUAAAUUUAGAGAAAUUCACAGGUUGCAAAAUUGCAUAUCAAAUAAUCAUGCUUAUGUCACAAAAUUUGUGGUAAAAGAUACAUAAAUCAUGUUUUACCAAUGUAAACAUGUUACAAAUAUGAAUCACAUAACAUAAAAACGGCAUGUGGGCUAAGCUUUUAAUUUAAAUAUAUUCAUAAUUAUAUUAUGAAGAAACUACCAUAUUAUAUACAUUUUCUUAAUCCCUGUGGGUAAAUUAAAAAAAAUAAUAUGAUAUUCCAUCCUAAUUAAUCAUAUUAAUAUAAUAAAAAUUUCUAUGGGAUAAAAUUCAUCAUAUUAAUUUAAUUAAUUAUAAUCAAUGUCCAUUUAUAAAUAUGAUCCGGAGGCUCUUGAUAUAUAAUUUAAUUAAUUAAAGAAGCUGUGGCUACUCUCUAAUUAAUUAAAUAUAUGGAUCAUUGGACAUUUAAUUUCAUGCAUAAAAUAUUCAUAAAAAUGCAUGAAAGGACAAAAUAGUAAAUAAAUGCACCAAGGGGUAGAACAGUAAAUAGAUUGGCCAAGGGCAGGAUUGUAAAAUUGCAAGAAGAGCAAAACGGGAAUUUUAAAAAUGGCGUAGGGGCAAAAGGGUAAAAAGUGCACCACGGCACGUCAGGUAGGGGUGAGCGGUUCCCGGUUCCCGAUUCCCGGUUCCGGUUUGGUUCCGUCUGGAACCUGGAACCUACCCUCGGGUACAGUUUUGGAACCUGGAACCUACCCUGUCACAGGUUCCAGGGUCGGUUCCAGAUUCCAACAGGUUCUUUUUUUUUUUUUUUUUUUUUUUUUCGGAUUUGAACUAUAACGAAAAAGGAAAGAGACAAACCAAAGCUUCCAUGUCCAUAAAUUGCCAAAAAUAGUUCCUUGGGAGCAGAAGCAUCCAAAAAAAAAAAAGCACCUUUCUGUCCCUUUAACUAAUGCCGUUCCAUCAGCAAACUGAAUUUUCAUAAAUAUAGCUUUAUUCUUCACAGACUGCAAGGAGAAGAUCUAUCUCUUAAAUGAAACAACAGUUACAGGAAGAAAAAACAAGGGCAGAAAAAGGCAGUAGCACAGCCAAAGUUCAUAUGAGCAUGUCCAUUUGCUAUUGAGUGAUGCAAAUCUCAACUAAACCAGACAAUCUUACCCUUCCUGUCCAAUAUAAUGAAGAACCUGGCUCCCUGCACUCAACCACAAGGUACUUAAACUCAUGUAAAGAUGCAGCUGCUUGAGAAAACCUAGAACCAUGUAGAAAGGCAUAUAACAGAAAUAAGACAAAGAAUUGCAAUGACUUACCAAGUGAAACUAGUCAAUUUAAAUUAUACCUUUCGAAAGGUGGAGGCAGACUGCAAAAGAUGUUGCACCAUGGAGUCCUUGCAACUCAAAAUAUUGAGCAAAACCCCCCUAAAGGCAAUGAAAGGCUCUAAAAGAUUAAUGUGCAGCUCUGUUCGUUUCACAAUCCAUUCCUAAUCAGAAUUCAGCCAGACCAUCUAAUUUGAAGUCAAAUGGAAUAGAUCAGUUGGUGUGAUAGAAACUAGAGAAUCACUUACAAGUUAACAUAUAAUAGUAGUAAAUGUUGAGAUAGUGGUCUGGUUUCAAAAGCAUUAGACACAGAGAAUAACUACAGGCAUCCACUUAGGAAAGACUUAAAUUAUCAAGUAAAGAGAUUCAUCAUCAAAUUACACCAUCAUUGAAUAAAUGGGCAAUUGGCUAUAUUAGUUCAAGCUGCUAACUCAGUUUGACUGGACAUGUUCAAAAGGAUUACGCUCCACAAGGAAGAAUUCAACAGUUUGCUAAGCAUACAAAGAGUCUGAUGAAAGAAAUAUAGGAUUUCAAUGUUGACUCCACAGUUAAAAAACUAGUUAUGCCCAGAAAACAAUUCCCUUAUAUUACAUUCUCUACAUACGAGCAACUCAUUAGGAGCUUAUAGAAUAGAGUUAGAUUAAAAAGGGUAAGAAAAGACCUAAAAAGAUGUGAAUGGAAAAGAUUAGAAAAUAUAACUAAGGAGCUCUUAGAUCUUAUAGAAGACUUGAUAUGGAAUCAAGGACAAGAACAUAAAAGUGAUUGUAUAGUUGAUCCACAUAGUAAUAUCUUGGUCGACCCAUAUAAUUUUGAGGGCAUUCUCACUAUAAGUGGAUGAGCAUAGCGUCUUUGGAACAUAUCUAGAAUUCUAGACUGAGACUGCCAUUCAAAGGUCUCUGUAUAGUCUUAUAAGACAAGUGAAAUGAGAAACCUCAGUAGCAAAAAAUAGAUGCUUCCAAAUUAUCUGAAAGACAAGCGAGAUUCAGAUAUUACUCUAAUAUUGGCCGCUUCCUGAGUAAUAUGGACACUUUUGCCUCUGAGUUUCUGUAAUGUGACUUCAAACCCCUUCUCUCGGUGGACUUUUACCUGCGAAUGACUUUAUGCUAUUCUUAUAAUGAAAAGUUCAUAAUCUUGGCUUCGUCAUUGAGUUCUAUGAUUCUACACAACUAGCAUAUACUUAGAAUGGCAAUCUGCACCAAUUCGAUUGUGUGUCAAAGUGGAUUGACACUGAAAUGUUAAUGCCUAUGCCUCUACUCCACUAACAACUUACCAGCCAUCUAGGAGACUCUGGAACAAAGAACAAACCCAAAAUUUGUAUGACACAGGGAAUGCAUCCUGAAGAUGAAAUCACCAAGAAUGACUUUUUGAUAUUUGCCAACUCAUUCAAAGAUAGAACUGAGACACUACCGAUUAGAGCCAAGAUACGCUAGGAGACAAUGGUUCCAAGAAAGUAAAUCAACAAAAAGCCACAGCAUAUCAUGAACUGCAACAAAAGCCAACUCUUUGUUAAUAAGCAAAUGAAUUGUCUCAACUCACUUUCAAUUUCUACAUUGUCCAAACUUUUUGACCUGAUUGAAUGCCGUAAAUGCUCCCCUAAAAAUACCCACCUUCACACUCCUUUCUUCCGAACGAAAUGCACAGGCCGCGCAAAAAAAUGACACUAAAGGAGAACUGAAAUCUGCAAGACAACAAAGGGCUUUGCUCAGUUUUGCGACACUUCGCAAAACGACGGAGAGAGGGAGCGGCAGAGAUUACCGACACGAAAGGCAAGCGGCGAGAGGCGUCGGGGGCGACUGGGCGAGCGGCGAGCGGCGUCCACCGGGGGAACGAGCUGCGUCCAGCAGCGGUGUCAAGGGCAAGCGAUGUCCAGCAGCUGAGCUGCGGGGCAAGCGGGGUCUGACGGCGUCGAGGGAGGAAAGGGCAAGGCGAGCAGGGGGUGACUAGAGUCUAGCGACGGGACGAGCGGAGUUCGGUGACGGCAUCAAGGGCAAGCUGCGUCCGGCGGCGACAUCGAGGGUGAGCAGCAUUGGGGAUGGGGCAGAGGCAGAGAACGAGGGAGGAGAACUGAACUGUUGAUUUGGGGAUUUUUAGGAACCCUAACCGAUUCCCAGAAAAAGGGAACCGGGAACAGGAACCGGCCCCUUUAGAACCGGGAACCAAACUGGACCCUCCGGUUCGGUUCUCCGAUUCCCGGUUCUACCCGGGAACUGCGCUCACCCCUAACGUCAGGCAUGUGCCAAGCACGCGCCUGCAUCCACGGCGGCCCUGUGGCCCGCACGCGCGCCAUCCACCGCGCAGGCGCGUGCAACGCACACGCCCGACAAGUACCACAGGCAGUUCCGCACACGUGGGCCCACACGGCAGCGGUUGGCGUGCGCGUGACAACGCGUGGCGCAUGGGUUCCACACGCCUGCAACCGCAGCACCCGCGUGGAGCCCACACACCUUCUCCCUCGCGCGAUAGAGCCGAUUUCCACCGAUUUUCACCGUUUUCCACCGCAAUUUCGUCGUUGUUUCUUCUUCGGCAGCCCAUCUAAGAUAGAAAUAAAUAAUGGGUUUUGGAGACCAUGCCGGCACGACCACAUGGAUCCAAGUUUCGUCGAAAAGGAGCAAGAAAUUGGCCCAAAUCAAACGAAAAUUUCCCAAAACACAAACGCUUAACCUCCGCGACUUCCGCCAACUGAUUAGCCUCCGGCGAACACCGAUAUGCCGAAAUAACUCAUGGCUAUUCUUCCUCAUGGCAGUGCGACCGUACCGGUCCGAAGUCGAGCGGUGGGUCUCCGGAAUUUGGCCAGAAUCGGCGAGUUUCUCUCUUGACCUCAAAGAUCCGAAUUACUGUUCAUCUUCAAAAGGCCCCAAAAAAAUACACCAAAAAUUGACAAAAACAAGGUAGAGGCACUUAACAUGCUCUGAUACCAAAUGUUAGAAAUAAAAAUCAAAUGCAGAAAAACAUUAUCGAUUAUAGACAAACCUCCAGCCAUUAUUCGUAUACACGUUCGUCGGAAAAUCCUGAAAAUUCAGAGAAAUAUUGGGCACACUCUACUAACCCAAUUCCCUCACAUACUGAUGGUGUAUUCUAAAAUUGAGAGGGUUUGUGUUAGACCUUGUGAUCACCCCAUUAGAAAUGAACGAUCAUUCUUUUUAUAUACCGUCUCCCAUCAAUACGAUUAUCAAAUGGGCGGUUGUCACGAAAAGGUACGAAGCAUGGAAACACUACAUGUCGAAUAACCGCCACUUUAAAGAGAAAAUGUAGGUCCGAAAAUGUGGGAUCACACAAUAUAAAUAACACACCAAUCUUCCGAACCAAAAGCAGUCACAUUUCGGUCGUUAGCUCCACCAACUUGCCAAGGUAUGACAUGUUUCUCUGAGUUACUCCCUGCCCAUCAAUACGUUUAAACUUGACACCAUCUUCGCUUUCUUUCCCACGCCGUAUCUUUGAUUUCCUUUUUCCGCGAGUUCAUCAAGUCCCGGCUUUUCGUCUUCCUGCUUGCUUGCUCAAUGCAUCGACUCUACUUCCUUUCACUGAUUCAGAUGGAAUGAUCCAAUAAGGUCCCUUGUUGAACUGAGACGAGGCAGGAAGGCGGGCACGCGGGAGUGAUCGACAAGAAGGAGGCGAAGAUGCGGGAAGAGGAUUUGGUGGAUGUAAAGUUCAGAUUGUUCGAUGGAUCGAACAUGGGUACCUUCCAGUACUCAUCAGCUUCCACCAUCAAUAUGUUGAAGUAGAGAGUUGUCUCCGAUUGGCCCAAAGGUUUCCCUCACCUCUCCUUCCCAUGUUCGUUUAAGUAUGUGAUUUGUGCUGAAUAAUAAUAUAAUCCGGUAUCUUCAUCUUGCUCAGAUAUGGUUUAUAAGAUUGGUGAGAUAGUUUAAAAUAGCUUAGCAAGGUCAUACCUGCAGACUAUAUGAACUUUUUCUUGUUUUAAGCAGACUUUAGGAGCUGCUUUCUUGUGGAAUGUAGGAACUGUCUAGGAACUGAGAUCAUGUCUACUACUGGGCCUUUUCUUAAGUUAGUGAUGACCCUGCUUUAAAUUUAUCUGAAAUUGCAUCAUUGCGAGUGUCAGUGACCACAAGUUUAUGACUCAUGGUGCUAUCAUGAAGAGCUGUGAUCCUCUAUUUGCGUACACGCUUCCAAGGCCAAGUUCUUUCCCAUCUUCAAAAAAAUUUCACCCUUAUUAAAAGAUCAUUUUCAUAAAUUUGUAUAACAAGUUCACAUUAAUAAUGCCUGUGAAUUUUUCAAUCACAAAUAUUCUUCAAUGUUUAUUAUAAAUGGUAUCCUUCAUGAGAGCUCCUACACAUAUUCCCUCCAACCAAAUAGUGUUGUCAAAAGAAAACAUUGUUAUCUCUAGAAGUUGCUCGCUCCAUUAAAUGUCAAGCUUUUAUUCCAAAAAUGUUCCAAGAAGAAUGUGUGGUCAUGGCAACAUACUUAAUCAAUCGGAUCUGUCUCGAGUCCUUAAUGGACGAACCCCCUUUGAAUUGCUUUUUGGGAAAAGUCCAGACAUUCGCCAUUUGUGUCUUUGGUUGUUUACAUUAUAUCUCUAUUGUGACAUUCCAAAUGAUUCUGUUUUCAAUUAAAUAAAUCGGGCUUUUCAUCGACGCGCUUAUAGUUCAAUUCUCCAAGCUGAUCACUCACGAGAUAACUAGUUUAUCAGGUGAAGCCAUUAAGGAAUCUAAACGCAAUAGACUUGAGAAUUCGACCAGGUAUCAACUGCUCGACCAUGCUAGUCUGCAAGGAUCAUUACGACACUAUCAGAAUCGAACAAAAAUCAGUGAUAGGUCGAUUCGACUGAGAUAUGUGAUUAGAUUGUGAGUGAUUCCACCUGUUUUCAAUGUUCUUGUCGACCGGCACUAAACCGAUUUCUCUGUCGUUUUGGGUACCUUAUCUCAAUAUUUGAAACCUCAAGAUUUUACGACGACCGAGAGUCGCCAAUGUGUCAAAGAAUUAUGUCGUGGCUUGAAAAUAAUCAACCACGGGUCAAUUGCACUGAAAAUUCCUAAAAGCUACCCGGUAGAUUAGGAAGCGCUCAAAUCGCGCCAGAUUGAAAUUAACCAUGAAUUUAAACCCGAUUUCAGAAAUUGAAAGUUCUAUCAUGUCACAAUUCAUUUUAGGAACGUCGACUCAUCCUCAAAAGAUUUUUCUACAAACCGAGAUUUUUGGCAGAAAAGAAAAGUAGGGCCAUUUUUGUUCGGGAUAGUCAGAGGGCCGUUUUUUAUCGCAUCUUUGGGAUGCAAGUUGGAUCAAUUGAUGGAAAAAAAUCAUAAGAAGGACAAGGACACAUGGAUUGAUUUGUUUGAGCUUCAAUUGGAUGAAUUUAAGAGAGAAUUGAAUGGAAUUGAAGUGCAAAUGUCCAAAAUUCGUAACUCCCUUGGCACACAACAUUUUGGACCCAUUGCCAAGCUUGUUGAGGAAGCUAAGGAGGGGCAAAUGGCUGAGGGGAGGGCCGGCCAUGGUGGGGGCAAGAGAGAGGAGAGAAAGACAAGUGUUGAAGGCAUAUGAGCCACUUUGGGGUCCCCCUCUUCCAGCAGCCUUCUUCUUCCUCUUUCCACUUGCUUUCCCCAUGUUGUGCACUUUUUGAGCUCCCAAGAACCAAUAGCAAUCGGCCAGCUUCUUCCCUCCUCGGUCACACACCGUCUAACCACCGCAAGCCCUCCGAGCGGCCACUGCGCGCCGGCCAAGCCUCCUGCCGCUGUUCCGCCUCCCUGCUCGUCGUCCUCCGCUGUUCGCGCAUCCAGGGCCAUCGUUCAGCUUCGCCAGCAGCUCUUGGUCGCCGUCGUGGUCGCCUGGCCGUCCGUCCAAGCCACUGGAGCCCCACCUAACCUCCGCCUGCUCGCUAUUGUCCUUCCUUCGCCGUUUCAGCCUCAACCGCCGCCGGCUCUAGCCUCUUCGGUCCAAGAUCAGUAGCUGAAGACAACAAGGCCUUGGAGACUUCAAGGCCUGUUUUAGGUGUCUUCCAGGCCUCCGUUGGUGUCACCACUAGGAGGAUUGUCGCUCACCUCCGCGUUGUGGUCGCCGUGGACUCACCGGAACGCAAAACCAGUGAGUUUACUCCAUAAACCUUGCUUAUGAGGUUAAUUAUGCUUAAGGGGUGUUUAUUAGGCUAAGCAUGUUUAGGUGGUUAGAUUAGAUUAGUUAAAUGUAGAUUAGAAUAAGAAAGUAGAUCAGUUUAGUAUGUUGAUUAAUUAGCCUAAUUAGGUGGUUAGAUUAGUGUAAUCUUAAUUAGGAAUUUAUUAAUUAUUUGCAUUUAUUUAAUAAUUAUUUAUUUGUUUAUUUGUUUAUUUUAUUAUUUAAUUAUUUAAUUUUCGGAAUUUAUUUAAUUAUCAAAUAAUUCCAGAAAUUCUGCCGGGAUGGCUAGUCGUCAGGUUUUCAUGCUGAGUUCAAUGGUGUGUUUAGAUUCCGCAAUUGUAUGCUAAAUUAUGCCAAUUGAGUGAAAGUGGUGAAUUUGGAUGAUUAUUCCAAAAGUGCGAAAUAUUGAUAUUUUAUUGUAAAAUCCCGAGUGUCUGCCUUUGGCACCGCAACUGGUUUUGAAGACCAGUUUAAAUUGUGGGAUUUUAAAGGAGUGAAUAUCAGUCAUUCGGGUAAAUUAUACAUAAAUCAACUUUGGCGAGCAAUAGAAUAUGUACAUCAGCUUAGGCGAGCAAUGAUAAUGAACAGCUUAGGUGAUAAAUGAUCAGCUUUGGCGAGCUAUAGAAUACAUAUAUUAGCUUAGGAGAGCAAUAAAAUAUAUAUGUAUCAGCUUUGGCGAGCAAUUUCUAAUCAAUCUCAGCUUAAGUGAGCAAGAAUCGAGUUGAGUCGAUUAAAUUCAUUGAUUGAGUAAAUGGGUUGAUAGUUAGUUGUAUCGAUCAAUUGGAUCGAUUAAUUGGAUUGAGAUUUGAAUUGUACUGAUUUGCAGGAAGGAACUGAGGCGAGGUAAGUCUUCUGACUUGUGUGAUUAGGCCUCUAGGCGUAUUUCCUUCCUAGUCGGGGUUUAAGGGAUGAACUUGCUGAGACAUUGUCUCACCCCGUCGUGGGCUCAACAUUUUCAGGUCCCUAGAUGGCAGAUCCUCCGGAGCUUUUUGGUAGACCAAUGAGGGUCACUGAGCGGGUUUUUGACUAUGCCGAUCCCCAGAAGUUAUUGGGUCUAUGAACUUGUGGUGACCACUGUCUAGGUUGAAGAGAACCUACCUUAUAGGGUUCCUCAUCGAUUAAGAGCGUGGUUGUCUAGGUUGAAGAGAACCUACCUUAUAGGGUUCCUCAUCGAUUAAGAGCGUGGUAUCGCUACAGACUCGAUGGAUUCCUAGAUGGUCCCCUCAGGUGUUUUGAAAUUCCCUCUGGUGUAAUAGAUGCCGCUCUAGGUGAGAGUGUAGUUGAUCCUCCAGAUGGGUUGGUGGAGGACCCGAUGUCACGCCCUGAUCCUCCGAGUACGUGCCCAUCCCUCCUUGAUCGAUUUAAUAGCGAUGUCCCAGGACGCAUCGCCGACCCAUUCAUUUUAAUAUACACAUGCAGAAGCAUAUAAAUAAUCCCCAGACAAUAAAACAUUGGGAUAGGAAAGUAGGGCUAUACUUUUCAAACCAAAACCGACCUUUUAUAAACACAUAGGUUUAUUUACAACAUCAGGUCGCUUACAAAAGUAUCGGCUUAAUCAAAAAGGAACUAUCCUAUGACUAACUAGUCAGAUAGGUUUGCCGAUUCUGUUUCCUUCACUUUCCCAAACUCCAGGACUUCAAGCUUUCCACGACCAUCACUUAGAGACCUGAAAAUGGUUAUACAAUAACCAGUGAGACAAUGUCUCAGCAAGUUCAAUCCCCUAAGACCAUUUAGAAAGCCAAUAUGCCCUAAAGGCUACCUAAGCACAAAUAGGCAUCAGAGGACUUACCUUGACCUCAGUUCCUUCCUGCAAGUCAGUUCAAUUCAUAAAUACUGACAGAUACAUCAUCCACUCAAUUCAAUCAGAUCGAAUCAUUAAUCAAUCGACUCAGUCGAUUACAUGUCAUCGAGACCAUCACCCGGUCACCUCGAUUAUUCAUUCUCAACUCUUAGCCACGGCCUAACGGGCACAACCAAGAUUAAGUGGUCAUCACAACCCCACUGGCAACUUUUUUAUAUUUGGUGGUCAUCACGGCCCCACCUGGCAAUUUUCUAGGUUUAGUGGUAAUCACGGCCCCACCUGGCAAUUUUCUUAAAUUGGGUGGUAAUCACGGCCCCACCUGACAAUUUUGUAGAUUUAGCGGCAUCACGGCCCCACUCGGCAAUUUUCUAUAUUUAGUGGCAUCACGGCCCCACUCGGCAAUUUUCGAUUUUUAGUGGCAUCACGGCCCUAUUCGGCAAUUUAGACUUUGUGGACUUAGUGGAAUCACGACCCCACUCGGCAAUUUAGGCUUAGUGAUAAUCACGGCCCUACUUGGCAUAACCAUUCUCCAGUGGUUCUCUUGAUUUAGUUAACAGUCUCACACGGCAAUUUUCCAAUCAAUUGUACAAUCCAGCAUUUAGUUGCAUAAUUCAACUAAUUCACAACUACCAUGCAAUUACACAAAUCAUCACUCAACUUCACAAAACAACAUUCAAUUACAGAAACUAAACACAUCACUGCGAUCAGCUCGAAAUUCUAUCGAGCGGCUCUCCCGGUAUAAUUUCCGGAAAAUAUUAAUUAAUUAAUAUUUAAAUAAAUUCCGAAAAUUAUUUUAAUUUAAAUAAUAAAGAAUAUAAUUUAAAUAAUAGUUAAUAGUAUUUAAUUUAAAUAAAUAAUUAAGUAAUUAAAAUAAUUAAUUAAAGUCUAAGCAUGAUUAACAUUAAUCUAAUUACAUAAUUAGACUAAUUAAUCCAACCCUUAAUCUAAUCAUGCACAUAAUCUGAUUAACAUUUAACUAAGCUAAUCUAACCACCUAAACAUACUUAGAAUAAUCUAAACACCCCUUAAACGGCAUUAACAUACUAAGCGAGAAUUAGUUAGUUAAACUCACCGGAUUUGCGAACCAGUGAGUCGACGGAAAUUACGACGCGGAGGCGAUCGACAAUCCUCCAAGCGGCGACACCAACAGAGGCCGAGAAGGGCUUGAAAACGAGCCACGAAGUCUGAACACCUUUGAUGGUUUCUGCUUCUGUUCUUGGCUGAACUGCAGAGAAGAAACCAGCAGCUUCAAUGGCGAAAAGGGGCUGAUCGGAGCUCCGGCGAGCGGGUGGUUGGCAACCAGUGGCUCCCGGGGUCAAGAGGGGAUGUGCUAGUGGUUGGAACGAGCAAAGGAAGGGUCAGAAUUGGGAGAAACUCGCGAAAAAUGCGAAACAGUGCAGGCGGGUAGGGGACCGAUGGACCGGCGACCUCGCCGGCGUACCGGACGGCCGGCGACUCCGUUCGGGGCGAGGCCGGGCUCUUUGGAACGGUCUGGAUGUGCUAGUCACGGAGAUGGGUGGCUCGGGGGCUAUAUCACACGGGAAGUCGACUUUUCGCUCCGAUCUUUGGCGAAAGGUCAGCUGGAGCAGAAACUGGAAGAGGGGAAAACAAAGGGGGAAAAUGGUCCGGCGAGUGUGCGGCGAUGGAGGGGCUGAUGCUGCUCAGUUUCUCUGGUUCUCUUGAGCUUUUUCUAAGCCUCACCAAUGGAGAAAUCCAUGCUUCAAGGAGGAAGAAGGGUUGUUGAAGAGAGGGGACCCCAAAUGGCCUCUUAGGCUUCCAACACUUUGCCAAACACUUGAGUGGCUGCCCCACCACUUGCUCAGCCAUCCACAGCCACCUUAUCCACUCUAAGGCUUCCCCACCACCUGCUCAGCCAUCCAUAGCCACCUUAUCCACUCUAAGGCUUCCCCAACAAGCUUGCCAAGUGGUCCAAAGGUUGCUCCCCCUAUGGCAUACGAAUUUGAGGCAUUUAUUCAUCAAAUACAUUCAAUUCCCCUUCAAUUCUUCUCCAAAUGGACUCAAUGUGGUGUCCAUAAAUCCAACCAAGGUGCCAUCAUCCCAAUCAACAUUUUUCUUCACCAUAUAGUCCAACUUGAAUCCCAAAAGUGCAACCAAAAACGGGCCUACGAAUUUCCCAAUCCAAAAUACCCUUACUUUGGAUUUUCGCCGAAAAUCUCGGUUUGUAGAAAAAUCUUCGAAGGGUCCUAAAAUGAUUUGUGACAUGAAAGAACUUUCAAUUUUUGAAAUCGGGUUUAAAUUCACAGUUAAUUUCAAUCUGGCGCGAUUUUAUCGAUAUCUAACCUACCGGGUAGCUUUUAGGAACUUUUCGUGCAAUUGACCUGUGAUUGAUUAUUUUCAAACCACAAAGUGCAUCUUCGACAUAUUGACGACUCUCGAUUGUCGUGGAAAUCUCGAGGUUUCAAAUACGAACACAGGGUACCAAAAUGACAGAGAAAUCAGUCUAAUGCCGAUCGACAAGAAUUGUGCAAUUAGGUGGAAUCACCCACACUUAAUCACAUACCUUGGUUGAGUCGACCUAGCUCCGGUCUCUAAUCGAUUUUUAACGGUGCCGUAAUGACCCUUGCAGAUUAGUACGGUCGAGCAGUCAAUUCCUGGUCGAAUUCUCAAGUCUGUUGCGUUUAGAUUCCUUAACGGCUUCACCUGAUAGGCUAGUUAUCUCAUGAGUGGCCAUCUCAGAGAAAAGCACUAUGGUCGCGUCGAUGAAAAGCCCAACUUAUCCAAUCAAAAUCAGAACCUGAAAUUUAGGAUGUCACACCCAAUGCCCCCGGUGCCUGUGGAGAAUGAAGAGCCAGCAAAGGAAUCAGAAUAGCUAGUCAUAGGACAGCUGUGUUUUGAGGACUGAUCUUCUGUAGAUCUUUUGUUAAUAGACUAGUGUUGUAAAUAAACUGGUCUGUUGUUUAUAAAAGUGUAUGGUUUUGUUUUCAAAAAGAAAAUGUGAUCCUGCUUUUCUAUCCCAAUUGAGUUUUGUUUAGGGAUUAUUUAUUCGCUUCUGCAUGUGUAAUAAAAUGAAUGGGUCAGCGACGUGUCCUGGGAAGUCGCAAAUUCCAUCGACCACAGAGGGAUGGACGCGUGCUCGAGGCUCGGGGCGUGACAUCUAUCAUGGGUCCUCAUAACAAAUUGUAUCUCCAUGCUGUUAAAUGUAUAUUCAUGGGAUAUCAUACUCUUCAAAAGGGAUAUUUAGUUUAUGACCCAUCCACUGAGGGUUUAUUUAUCAGUAGAGAUAUUAUCUUCCAUGAAUAUGUUUUCCUGUUCCAAGACUAGUUAUCUUUUCAUGAACAAAUUAAUAUGGCUACUAAUCACUGCCCAUUUUUUCACUGAAGAAGUUUUUGUUGCCCUUUCAAUCGAUGAUGAUUCCCUAUAUGUCAUCUCCCAUGGCAUCCUUGGCUCCUUAAUAUGAUGCAGCCUCAUUAUCAGGUACAUAUAAUACAACUCUCAGUAUUCCACAGGAAGUCACAUCAGAGUUCCCUACAACUUCUCAAUCACAUACUUCUUUGGGUGAUAUCUCUCUUGAAUCACAUGGGAUUAUUCCAUCAGCUGCACUAAUUCCUCCUCGACGUUCUGGUUAUACUACAUGACCACCCACAUGGACAACAGAUUAUAUUUGUCCUACCUUUGAGUCAUAUAGUAUACAAUAGCCCAUCUCAUCAUAUGUUAACUCUACUCGCCUUUCACCUAACAUAUGUGUUGCCUUAGUAGAAUAUUUGAAGGACAAGAACCAUCUUCAUAUGAUGAAGCUACAAAAGAUCCUCAUUGGCAGCAAGCAAUGGUGGAUGAAUUACAAGCCCUAAUAGAAAAUAAAACUUGGGAUAUCAUUCCCAUACCCCUCAUCGGAAAAUCUAUUGGUUGUAAGUGGGUAUACAAAAUCAAAUACAAGACAAAUGGUUCCAUUGAACCUUAUGAGACAGGACUAGUAGCCAAAGGGUUCACUCGGCAAGAAAGUUUUGAUUAUAUUGAAACGUCCUCUCCAAUAGCGAAGGAAGUCACCGUCCAUUCCUUCUUUUCUAUUGCUGCUUUUCGCAAUUGGCCCAUUCAUUAAACGGAUAUUCGUAAUGCAUUUUUCAUGAGGAUCUUAAAGAUGAAAUCCACAUGGACCUUCCGCUGGAUUUAUGUAGACAAUGAGAGAAUAGCGUAUGUUAUUUCUGUAAAUUCCUAUACGGACUUAAACAAGUUUCUCGUCAAUGGUAUGCUGAUAUGAUUAUGCUUUAUUCACAUUGAGUCAAGGUACAUCAUCAAUUUACUUGCUUAUAUACAUUGAUGAUAUAAUUAUUAUAGGAAAUAAUGAAAAUACCCGACAUACACGUUUAAUAUUAAGGAUUUAGGACAUUCCAAAUACUUUCUUGGGAUAGAGAUUACACGAUCGGAUAACGAAAUUUGCCUCAAUUAACAAAAAUUUGUCCUAGAAAUCAUAGUAGAAGCAAAACUAUUGGGAUCCAAACCAAUUGUUAUUCUAAUUAAACAGAAUGUUAAGUUAACAAUUGCUGAGUAUUAUAAAGGACUAUCACACCUGAAUGACAACCUUUUGCUCAAAGACCCUUCUUCUUAUCAGAGACUUGUCGAGAAACUCAUAUAUCUAACCAUGACUAAACCCGACAUAUGCUAUUCCGUGUAGAUUCUCAACUAGUUCAUGCAUAAUCUGAAGCAGUCCCACAUGAAUGAUUCACUAAAGGUUGUAAAGUACUUAAAGGAAUUUCCAAGUUUGGGGAUACUACCCUCUCGGGAAAGCAACAUGGAGAUGACAACGUAUAGUGAUACAUAUUAUGCUACUUGCCCUAUGAGUAAAAAAUCUUUCACUAGAUUCUGCUUCAAAUUAGGCAACUCAUUAGUCUCUUAGAAAACAAACAAAUAGUCGACUGUUUUUUCAUCAUCCGUCGAAGCAAAAUAUCAGGCAAUGGGCAAGACUAGCUUUGAGAUAGUUUGGAUUAGAGGAUUACUUCAAGAUAUUAGCCUAUCGGUAAAAAGAAUCGACCAUCCUAUUCUAUGAUACUGAUGUUACACUUAAACUUGUAGUAAAUCCAGUUUUCCAUGAAAGACACAACAUAUAGAAAUUGAUUGUCAUUUGAUUAGAGACAAAAUUCAAGAUGAAGUAGUCAAAACAAGAGAAAUGAGAAUGACGGAACAGCCGUAGACAUCUUCAGUAAACCCUUAUGUGAGAGGCAACAUGCGUAUAUAUUAAGCAAGCCGGCAUCCUUGAUGUGCAUAAACCGUCAGCUUGAGGGGAGUGUUGAAGAUAUUGUUGCCUAGACUAGACUGAUUGAUCUUGAUCCGAAUAUUGAUUGUAAUUUUUGCCUAAUUAUUUCCUUUACUUUGCAUGUCUCUUUUUCCUUAAUUAGUUUGAUCCUAUGUACUAUAAAUAGGACUAUAAUUGUACAAUAUUGAUAUGAGAAAGCAAUAUACAUUUUUCUAAUUCUCUGACAAUUUCAUGAAAUGAAAUAAUUAGGCGUCAUUAUUAAUUAUCUAUCUAGUACUUAAAAGUCCAUCAAUACAUCUAAAGAUGAUAAAAGAUGUUAUCUUUAAAAUUUGGUGUUGUAUGGUCAUAAGUUAAAUGGCUAUUGAGCUAUCAAUUUUAGUUCCUACGCCAUUGGAUCUCAAUUUGACAUGUCUUUCAUAUGGGAAAGGACUUACUAAGGUUUUUUUUUUUUUUUUCAUCUAGUUAGAUAGAUAUUUUGACAAUACAAAUAUAAGUUUCAACGGCAGAUUUUCUAUACUUAAAAAUGAUCCUAUCUAAGACCAUAUGCAUCCAUGCUCAUUAUCUCAUGACAUGUGGUACGUCUAAAAAAAAUAGAAUUAGCAAUACCCAUUAUUUCCUAACAUGGUAUAUAUAAAAACAGAGACUUAGCCACAGCUGGUCAUAAAAUCAAUGUGGACUGUCACAUUGGUGAAAUCCAUAUGGUCAUAAGAAACCAGCUUUCUGAAAUUGUCCGAAAUUCUUUAGUAUAUAUGGAGCACUCACUAAUAAUUUCUACUAUGUGAAGAACUGGUUUCGCAUGUUACUAUUUCAAAAAUGAAGUAUCUUUUAAAAAGUUUUCUUGACGUUUAUAUAUAGAUAUGUUGUAGAAAUACUUAAAUGAUUCAAAGAAUGCUCUAGAUGAUUGAAAAUUCAGAGACGAUCACAUGAUGCGCAACAUCAUUUUCAAAUUCAUAAACUCGUAAUGUCAAAAAACAUGACAUGUGUUGAAAAUUGUUAGAAUAAAAUUGAUGAUUAAGACAGGGCAUAAAUCUAACUUAACACGAGGCAAAAUUUUUCCAUAAUCUAAUCCUGGAGGUGAGAUAUAAAUGUUUUAUUGGAAAUAUCAUAAACAUUGGAGUAAUAUAUAAUAAUGGACGCAUACUACGGUUUAAUUAGUGUAUUGAAAAUUGCAACACCUCCUUAUGAUAACCUAGCAAGUGUCCUUGGAGCACUUUUCAACAAAAUACAAAAUGCCACUUUCAAAGUAGCAUCACAAUAAUUCAUAUAUUGGAUAAUUUACCAAACUUGAGAGACAUUACCCCCGCACUUUAUAGGCAAACAACAUAUUUCACUACUAGAAAUUAAAUAUUAUGUAUUGGAAAAAAUAACCUGAAGUAGCACAAGAAUUAUUAAAUACAUUUGGCAAUCUAUCAAAUCGACCGGAAUUGGCCAACCUCAAAUUUCAAAAGCAAGCACCAUAUUUACCAGAGAAAAUUGAUAAUUACUAAUCCAUUGAAAAAUUACUAAGAUAGAGUAGUGCCUUAAUUGCAAAUAUAUUUGCUUACUGAAUGUACUAGACAGUUAUAUCUACCCCAUAUGCAAAGAAACAAUCAAUUGAAAAGGUUACUAGCUUAAAGUAUUAUGAUGGAGGAAGAGAGAGUUGUACCAAUCAAAUGGUCCAAUAAGUGGAUUCAUAAGAAAUGGGAAAAUUUAUCCUAAAAAUCGUAAAUCUUUCAAUUUUACCAAUUGAAUCAUAAACCUUUUCACAAUUUAUUACUUAAAUCUAUCUAUUUAGUUUUGGCAGGAAAUUGCUAACGUGGAUAAUUUUUAAUUAUAUCUUCAUUUUUUUUUAAUUUUCAUUUUUUUCUUUUAUUUUCUUUCCCUUAUUUUUUUUUCCUUUUUUCUUCUUUUCUUUUUCUUAUUUUUGUCUUCGCCAACCAUUUUCAAGCCUCGCCAAUGGUCAGAGAAGGUCGCCGACCUCAGGUGAGGACCGUGAGGCCAACGACCUUCACCUUCACCAAGCCAUUGCACGCUCAAGCGAGGGCAAGGGCUUGCCAACCCAGACCCAAGCCUCCUUUGCCCAAGGCUAGCGAAGGCUAGGCUUGGGCGGCUGUCACGCCCCGAACCUCGAGCGCUCGAACAUCCCACUCUGGUCGAUAAAAUUUUGUAACUUCCCAGGAUACGUCGAUGACCCAUCUUUUUAUUACGCAUGCAAAAGCGAAACAAAUCCCCUGACAACAUUUAGCUUGGGAUAGAAAAGCAGGCAAUCAAUCACAACCAAACAAGCUUUCUUAUAAACACAUAGGUUUAUAUACAAUACUGGAUUGUCUACAAAAUAGACAGGCUCAACAACUACGGGAACUGUCCGAUGACCAACUUGUCAGACAUGUUCGCCGAUUCUUCGGUCUCCACCUCCACAAAUGUCCAUGGCUUCGAGUCCUCCACGACCGUCAUCUAAGGACCUGAAAAUAUUAUCCCACAACCAGGAUGAAACAAUGUCUCAGCGAGUCCUACCUUCUAAUACCCGAUUAGGAAGAAAAUAUGCCUCAGGACACUCUAGCCACACAAAUUAGACAGAGGACUUACCUCGCCUCAGUCCCUUCAUGCACGUCAGUACAAUUCAUAUUCAAACAAUGCUCGCACAAGCUAAAACUACCGACACACACAUCGGUCUAUCAAUUCAAUCAAUCCAAUUGAUAUCAAACGAUCCACACAUCUAUCAAUUCAUACCAUCUAUUAAACCAUACCAUCUAUUCAUCCAUUAAUACAAUCACGGCUCACACAAGCUGAAAUAGAUGCAAUGCUCUCACAAGCUGAUAUAGAUGGUAGCUCGCACAAGUUGAUAUAUAUAUAGAUGGUAGCUCACAUGAGCUGAUAUAUAGAUGAUAGCUCGCACAAGCUGAUAAAUGGAUCGUUGCUCUCACAAGCUGAUAAAGGAUCGUUGCUCUCACAAGCUGAUAAACGAGCAUUGCUCUCACAAGCUGAUAUACAGUGCGCACACAAGCUGACAAUGAUGCUCAUAUAAUAGCUCACCAAAAGCUGCAAUAUAUAUAUAUAUAUAUAUAUGUAUGUAUGUAUGUAUGUAUGUAUGUAUGUAUGUAUGUAUGUAUGUAUGUAUGUAUGUAUGUAUGUAUGUAUGUAUGUAUGUAUAUAUAUGUAUGUAUGUAUGUAUAUCAUAAUUGCUCGCCCAAGCUGAUACAUAUAUAUAAACAAAUGCUCGCCAAAGCUGAUCAUUUAAUAAUAAACCAUAGAACUGGAUAUUCAAUCCAAUAACAACCAAUGAUUCAAACUAGUCAUACAAACCAAUUACGAUGCUAAAAGCCAACACCAUGUAUUUUCAAGUUAAAUACCACAACUUCAUCAAUUUCAUUCAAUUCCACACUUUGGAAUUAUUAACCAAAAUCAUCAAUCACUCAAUUCCUCAAAUUAAACAAACAAUUAGCACAAACUGACCACACUGCUGCGAUCAGCGCGAAAUUCUAACGACCGGCCAUCCCGGCAAAAUUUUCGAAAUUAUUAAAUAAUUAAAUUUAAUUCCGAAAAUUAAAUAAUUAAAUAAUAUAUUAUAAUAAUAUAAUUUAAUAAAAUAAUAUUUAUAAAAUUCGAAAUAAUUAAUUAAUUAAAAAUGAUUAAUUAAGGCUUAACUAGAUUACACUAAUUUAAACAUACAAUUAGCCCUAAUUAAACAUCCAUUAAACUAAUCAUAUAACUAAUCUAAUUCACAUUAAAAUAAUCUAAUUUAACCACAUAAACCUAAUUAAACUAAUCUAAACACCCCUUAAGCAUAAUUAACUCACUAAGUAAGGAUUAGAGGAUAAACUCACCCGAUUAACAAGCCGAACGGCUCAAAACGACAGGGACGACACGAGGGUCGAUAGUCUCCAAGGCGGGCCUAGCUUCCGGGGUCAGGAAGCCGACCAAAAUGGGCCAAAACCAAGCUGAAAUACCCAUUUUCCAGCUGCUAUUUGGGGCCGAGAAGAGAUGGAUCCGGGGUUAGGUCAAGCUGGACAGGGCCGGUGGUGGUCCGUCUAAGUUCCAACGGUCCAGGCAGAGGCGUACGGCGGCGGAGGGAGCUCCGGUGGUGGCUCACGGUGUUGGACAGCAGCUCUUGAUGCACAUCGGACAGGAACGAUGGCCGGAAUGGCGGGCUUGGCGUGCGUGGACGGCGGGGUGUCGCGAGCGGCGGACGGCGUGCAAGGGGUGCGCAACGGCGGUCCGACUAGACUGCUGGCUGCUCUGGCAUCCUCAGAUCUGCUGGGUCUUCGAGCAGCAACCGAAGAUGGAGGAGAGAAGGCUUCGGCGAGAGAGGGAGAAGGAAACGGAGGCGUGCGGAGCAACGACGAGCAGCGACGGCGUUCGGCUGGGACGAACGGCGACGGCGGCUUCGGACGGAGCUUCUAUGGUUCGCUGGUCUUCAGCUUCUUCGGCUUGCUGCGUUUCUUCGAGCAACAAGAAGAAGGAGAUGGAGGGGAGGCUCGACGGAGGAGAGAGGGGGAGAAACGGUUUCUCUCUCUUGGGGGGGACCACUUCUCACAUUUUCCUCUUUCUUUAAUCCUCCAAAAAUGGCCCACCAUGACCUCAUGUGAUGUCACCUUCCACUCAACUCCAAGCUUCCACAACUAUCUUCAAUGGGUUCAAUUUUAUUUUCCGCCGUGGCAUGAAAUCUUGUACACUUAAUUCAAUCAAUUCUCAAUCAAUUCCAUCCAAUUGAAGCUCAAUUAAAUUAACCCAUGCGUCCUCAACCUUCUUAUGACUUUUCCCCAUCAAGUGAUCCAACUUGCAUCCCAAAGAUUCGAUUAAAAACGGCCCUCUGACAAUCUCGAACAAAAACGGCCUUACUUUGCUUUUCCGCCAAAAAUCUCGGUUUGUAGAAAAAUCUUCUGAAGAUGAGUCGACGUUCCCAAAAUGAAUUGUGACUUGACAAAACUUCCAAUUUCUGUAAUCGGGUUCAAUUUCACGGUUAAAUUCAAUCUGGCGCAUCUUUAGCGCAUCCUAAUCUACCGGGUAGCUUUUAGGAAUUUUUAGUGCAAUUGACCCAUGGUUGAUUAUUUUCAAGCCACAAAGUGCAUCUUCAACACAUUGGCGACUCUCGGUUGUCGUGGAAAUCUCGAGAUUUCAAAUACGGACACAGGGUACCAAAACGAUAGAAAAAUCGUCUAGUGCCGAUCGAUCAGAAUUUUGCAAUUAAGUGGAAUCACCCACAUUUAAUCACACGGUUCUGUCGAAUCGACCCAGUGACCUCUGUUGACCAUCAACGAGGCCUUAUGGAAGGAAAAAGGGAAACAAAAGGAAAAAAAGAAUAGAAGGAAAAAUAUUCAAGUAUUAUUAAAAAUUAUCCACAUUAGUAUAGGUAAUGUCAUAUAGGACAGCUGAUGUCCAGUCAGUAGUUUUUUACUAAAAUUGAUCGAAUGAACUUAAUUGGCAAACAUAAAAAGAUUUAUGACCCAAUUGACAAAAUUGAAAAGUUUAUAACUACAUUGGCAAAACUACAAUAGAUUUAAGAAUUUUUGGACAAUCUUUCCAUAAGAAAUGUGUAUAGGACAUGGUAACGAUAAUAAUUUUUUUUUCCCACCUAAGGUGAACAGAAUAGCGGUUUGGUGUUAAAUCUAUCACACCAUGACAACUACAAUACUUUUUUUUUUUUGUUAAGUGCUUGUUUGUUUUUCUAAAGACGUGGUUUGAUGCAACUUUCACAUAACAAUUUUAGCUAUGAAAAAGAGGCUGCAACUUUUAAAGAUGUUCAACAAGCACCUCAAGUUUAACAUCUCCAGAACUAUAGUAGCUUAUAGCAGAUUUCAGAGAGCUGCUUCACCCAACUUUUAGAUACUACAAUUCCAAGAUGUAAAUUUCCAAAUAUAUGAAUCACUAACACUUCAUAGUACCACUAUAUAGAAAAAUAGAGAUACAAUUCAGUCAUAACUAUAGCUAAUGGGAUCUAAAUAGUACCCACCAUGCUGAACCAUUACAUAAGAUAGCCGGAUUUUGAUAAUAUUGGUCCAUUUGGUCAGGCAACAAAUCACCAUGAAGAACGACAAUUUUAAUGGAUUAUCCUCACUGAUUUACCAUGCAAUCUAUUUUAAACCUAAAGACUGAAAAUUUUGACGGGAAGAUUAAAGUGUGACCGAAGUUUACUGGUAAACGACAUAGAAGUUUUUGGUUGAAAAAGUGAGAAGGUUCAAUACUUCCUUUCCUCGGUUGGUUCAAAAGGUCGAAACCUUUUCCAAAAUGUUGAGUCAGGACAAUAACACAUCCUAGGAUUGCACACGCAUCCAUUAUAGAAAUCACCUGAGCUACAGCAAAUGUUACAUCCUCAAUUGGGGGUUUUUGUUGCAACAUCCCAGACUUGUCGCCAUCCGGAUUCUUUUAUCUUAUUUUUAUGCACAUGCGAAAACGUGUACUUAAAUCUUCCCCAGACUAAUAACAACUUGAAGAUGCGGACAAUCUCAUACAAACACACUACUUUCAUACAUAUAUGUUAGUGAUACAAUACAUAUGCUGCUUCCGGCUACAUUGCUUUUUACAUGAUAGCAAAAGGUUGGGGUAUCCCUAGCUCUGCUAUGGGCUAUAGUCUCCAAAAUUGGGAACCCUCCGCUAUUAGGCGGUAUUGCAAUCUAGUUCCUUGACCCCUUAGACAGUGCUCCAUCGUCCGAGCCGACUGGCCCGUUGAACGCACGAAGUGGACUGACGAGGUCUCCGUCGAACCAGACAUACCAGGCUACAUAACGAUGGGGGACCAAGUCAUCUAGCCCUUCAUCCACCCAUAUGGUGGUAGUGUAUUCACGAUAUGUAUAAGUGGUCUCCUCCUCUAAGUCCGCUACGUCGGCAACCGACACUUCCAUAUUUAUAGGCAGACCAAAAUGUUCAGGAGGUGGGUUAACCUUACUUAAAAACCUGAAAAGCAUAAGGAGUGAGUCUUGGGAACUCAAUAAGUAAUAUUUCUAUUUCUCUACCAAGAAAGCCUCUCAUCAUCAAGAAUUAGUAUGUACCACACUCGCAAAUAGUGUCAAUGGCAAAUCAAUAGCAAAUCAUAAGUCAUGCUUCAUCCACACAUGCCAUCCAUGUCGAGACAACCAUCAGUUUAACAACCAGCAUAUGAAUAAUUCACAAUUAUGCAUCACCGGUACCCAUGCAAAUUCAUUUAUCGUCGUCCUAGUUCAACCAGGCCCUCCCGGCUCAACCGAGGCAUCUAGCUUCAUGCUAGGCAUCCUAACUCAAUCAAGGCAUCACGAUUCAACCAAGGCAUCCUGGGGCUAGCUUACUUGAGGCAUCCAUGCUCAACCCAGGCAUCCUAGCUCAACCAGGGCAUCAUGUUCAAUGAACGAGGCAUCACCGCCGAUGUUGUGUGGCAACGAACGCUUUUCCUCUUUAAGUGCACGCAUAUAUGCAUCAUAUAAGUCGGUUCUUGUCUUUUCUCUUAGCUGACACAUGCAUGGCCUGAAGGCAUGCUCAUUCUUUCGUGUGUGCCAUGAGUUCGUGUACGUCGCAAAUAAAUAUGUCAAGAAUGAUCCUUGAUCCAUAACUUGAGCCAAUCACUUGGCGUCGAUCUCAUAUCAGACAAGGCUUGGAAACGGCACGCCUCAAUGCCGAUCCAAGACAUUGAGACUUGGGUAUACCUUGCUUUAAUGAAGAUCCUAAACUUGCCGAACCUCAAUUUCAACCCGAUGUGAAUACACUUGUGCCGUGAAUAACCCUUGACUCAUGGUUUGAUUCAACGCCAAGUGCAAAGUUCCCGCACCAAUUCAAACUAUAGAAUCGGCAUGCUUUAGUGCCUUACCAAGACCAUGUAGAUUUAGGCGAUCCCCAUACCAAUCAAGGCAUAGAAUCGACAUGCCUCAAUGUCAAUUUAGGACCUCGCGACCUUGGGCGAUCCCUACACCAAGUGAGACUUGGACCCGGCACCCUAUUUAUGCCGAACCAAGGCCUUGUGGGUUGGGCGACUUUGCCUUGCGAUGAACUCAAUCUGAACAAACCUCGAUUUCAUUCUAGACGUAAACGACUCAAGCACACGGCCAUGUACAAUUGCAAGCAAAAUCAGAUAAAAGAUAUCACAUACCACCCACUGCUUAACGGGUGAGCACUUAGCUAGCUUCAAUAAUGGGAUCUACCUUCUUAGAGGAGAAAGAUGAACCUUACUUAUCUUGACAAACCUCAAGAACUAACUUGGAUAGCUUGAUGGGUUGGUGGUGCGAGGUCGAGAGAAAGGAAGAGGAGGAGGAGAGUAGGCGUGAAUGGCAAGGGAGCUUAAAAUAACGGAAAUGAAUGGAAACCCCUCCUAUUUAUAGGCACCAAGCUCAUCAUUACUCAUUCAAGCAAUCCAAUUACAUUUCUUAAAGUGGCAUGGCUAUAACCUUGAGGUGGCAAGCCUAGGUCGCAAGGUGGGACACCUAUUUGGAAAGGCAGCACACCUAAUUUUAUGAGAUGGAGAUCUAAUGGCUUAGUGUAAUUAUUUAAAGGUUUGUUUGUCUCCUUUUUAUUGGACCACAUGAGUACUUAGCCUAUUAUCAAGGGACAAGUCAUUAUGGAUAGGUGGCACCCUAAAAGAUAAGGUAACGCCAAGGCCAUAGGAUAGCCAUAAUUUACUCCAAGGUGUCUUAUUUUUAUUGGGACAUUCGGCCUAGAUUCUUUGCUUAAUCUCCAAGGUGAAUUCUUGGUAAUCAUGGCCAAAUCUAGAAGGAUCUAGGUGAAAUGGUGAGUCAUCCUCCUUCAUGAAGAAGCUCGGAUGUUCUAGAGACUUCUAUUUUGUACAUUUCCAAGCAACAUGGCAAUCAUGGAAAAAUAGGCCAUUGACAAUGCAACCAAGACCGAGCAGGAGCUUUUGGUGUACAUCCCCUAACGACCAUUCGGACAUACCCGAGGUUCGUGGCUAAGCCUCCCUCGGUAUGGUUGUCGUAGGCAAAGUUUACUUUCUUGGCUAGAUUGAUGGCCUAGGGCAUAGGCUCAAUGACGGGUCCUUAGAUCGACUCUAGCCGAAUGGAUUGGACCCUGGAUCAGCCGUAGGCUUCAUUCAAACCGAUUCCCUAUUGUCAUGUGGCCGUUCGAGAUCGGUCAGAUUCGUACUCAGCACAUGGUCAUACCGAGUCGAAUCAUGAUCAUCCAUGAUCGAUGCAUGACCAAGCAGAAUCACUUGCGAUCGGAACAUGACCAUUUGGAUCGAUUCAUUAUCGUUGAUUGAUCCGUGAUGGGUGUGACCAUCCCUCGACCAACCUUGACGGUCGAGUAGUCGUCAAUCGACUAAACUGCUCGGGUCCAUUAUCAUGAUCAUGGGACUGGUCCACGACUAUUCCCAAGAUUUGAUCCAUGAUCAAUAUAUGGCCAAAUCUUGGAACGAUCUAUGACCUAUCCCCCCACUAGCACACCAGAUUCACAGCCAUUUCUCGUAGGUUGAAAAUCGGGAUGUUAUAGCAAAUAUCUAGCCGAAGAUAAGUACCACGUGCUCAUGUUAAUGGGAUCUUGAGUACACAAUAUAUCAUAAGAGAUCUGCUGAGCUAAUCAUAGCAUUCGCGCCAUUAGAGUUCAGAGCACUUAGAAAAAGCAAAUCUUAUCAUUUUAGUUUGUCAUAUAUAUUCCAAGAUGCACUACCACUUUAAAAAUUUUGGGGGCUUUUAAUAACCAACGGUAUAAAGGAUGAUGAAGAGCUAGCGCAGUUUUUCUAUUCAGUUUUAUAACGAGGCGAAUUCCAAGCACAAAACCUUAAAGUGAGAUGAUAUCAAAUGAUAGACCCAGGGCAAACCCUUUCCAUAUAUGUCCUUCCACAAGAGUUAGAUACGUAUAAUCGUCACGAGAUCAAACGCCGCCACCAGUUCCGAUACAGGAAAAAAGAUUGUUACAUUCAUCCUAUGCACGCGUGACGGUCAAAAAAGCUGUUGCAGAUGGAGCGCAAUACCAUCAAGUUCUUUAACAUUGGAUUCAUUGAACCGAAAAGAUUUGCCAUUCAUAGUUCAAGGGACGUGCGAAUGUUGAUCAGGAGCCACCUGUCGUCCAUUCAUGCAGGAGGCACAGAACGUUUGUGCUGCGAUAGGUAGCUAAGCGGAUGGAUUCGCAUUACCCUCUCGACGUCUGCGCAUGCCUAAACUGAUAAAGAAAGGGAGUCUUAAACGACAAACGCCUAAAAACCUACGGAAAAGAUAUGAAAAACUUAUUCAUUUAAGAAGCUCGAAUGUGUGGUGCGAUGUUAAGGUGAAAGGGGAAGAGAAAGUCUGUAAUACUUAAGUCUGGCAUAAAAUAUUGGUAAAAAUUGUCCAAAAAGCCCUAAACCUAUUAUAUCUUUACCAAUUGAGUUCUAAACCUUUCAAUUUUGUUAAAUGAGUCCCAAACCUUUUCAACUUUUGCCAAUUGAGUCCGCUUGGCUAACUUUGACCGGAAAUUGCUGACAUGGACAACUAGUGCUAACAUAGCACUUUUAAAUAAUAUUUUUAUAAAUAUUUCAAAUUUUUACGUUUUUUUUCUUUUUUACUUUUUUUUUUUUUUUGGUGGGUUUAGGAGCUAGGCCUGACAAGGGUGGCUGGCUGACCCAAAAAGCAAGGGUGUCGUGGCCCUCACCGAUUCUAGGCGAGGACUCGCACGCCCUCGCUUUUGCCGAGGAGGGCAUCGUGACCCUCGCCCGGAGUUGGCAAGGGGCACAAUGCCAUCACCUAGGGCCAACGAGGUUCAAUCGGCCCUUGCUUGUGGUUGGUGAGGGUUGCCAGCCCUCGCCUAUGGCCGACUGCUCCCUCGCCGACCCUAAUUCUUUAUAAUAAAAAAAAAGUCAUAAAAAUUGAAAAUAUUUUUAAACAAGUGCAACGUUAGCACCAGUCAUCCACCUUAGCAAAUUCCAGCCAAAAUUGGUCAGAAUGAUUCAAUUGACAAAAGUUGGAAAGGUUUAGAAUUAAUUGGAAAAAUUAAAAAAUUUAGGACUCAAUUGGCAAAGUAUAAUAAGUUUAAUUCUUUCUUACUAGAUGUUGAUGUUUCGGGUGCAUAAUAUGUCUGUGCUACUCCACCCAACCAAUUAUUUUUGGCGAUUAUAAUAUUCUACGUCAUGGCAUAAGACGGUGUGGUCUUUCUCCUCCCUCUGUAGAUAUUGCAUGGCUUGCGUGACUAGAGUUCACACAGAAUAGCUCAUCAGUAGGGCAUCUCGUGUUGAGCUAUAAAACCUUUCAUUCUCAAAUAUUUCCUUCAGUUGAGCUGCCAUCCUUGAUUUCCUGAGAAGUAGAGAGAGAGGCAAUGGCCAUUUUCUCGAUCGAUAAUCCCUGUUCUUUUGCUUUUGGCCUCCUAGGUAUAUAGUUUUAGCUAGACAGGAUCUAACUUGUAGUCUCACUUAGUAUCUUCAUCAAACUAGAGUUAACAUGCACAUUACAAGUUGUGCCAUCACUAACCCCUAUCUCAUCAAGAUAUUGAUUCCCUUGUAAGGCCAUGGACUGAUUCAUUUGUCAUCUUUUCUGAUAAUUCUUUGUCCCAAGUAAUCUCAUAUCUUUUGUGGUCUUUUUGGCCCCAAUGUAAGUUCAUCCUCUUGAUCAACUUUUUGUUUAGCUUAACAGAAGGGUCUGGAAGUAUCAUCUUCAACGACUGAUUGAUAAGGUUCUUGCAAUUCUUUUUUUUGUUUAUGUUGACAGACCAACAUUUUAUGGGGUGUGCAAGAAGAAGUCAACCGAAGGAUUUCAAUCGUUCCAUACAUGGUUUCUCUGUUCAGCGCCAUGCUCUGGAUAUACUACACAUCCCUCAACUCCAAGUCCAGUGAUUUCCUUCUCAUCACUAUCAACUCAGUGGGAUGUGUCAUAGAGACCAUCUAUGUUGCUCUCGACAUUGCUUUUGCUCCUGAAAAAGCCAAGUUACAUAGUUACCUAUCCAAUCAUGUUUACAUGAUAUCGUCACAAUCCAUACACGGUUGAUAUGUAACAGUAUACGUUGUUAAAGAAGGUUUUUUUUAUUAUAAAUGCGUGCAUGCAUGUGACACGGCCCACGAACGAAGCAUGUACCGUCCGUGAUUCGGCCGUGUCACGCACAAGGGCUUGCCACGGACAAGCCCUAAUUGGUUCCAGUCCCGACCGAUCCCUGACCGAUCCCGCAUCCAUCCUUGAUCGAUCCCCAAUCGAUCACCGAUCAGUCCCUGCACGAUCCGUGAACCGUGCCCGAUCCGUCCAUGCGCGAUACGGGGGAUAACCCGUGCACGACCAGCGGCCGACUCCUAAUCAAUGCUUGGCCAGCCCCUGCACAAACCUGGAGUUGUUCACCUGCUCCGUGUCAGGUGGCCAGACUCGCCCAUGCUGACCCUGGUCUUGCUUCUGACUUGUGCAUGCGCCUGUGGCUGUUUCCCAAUGCCUGCAGCCAUUGAGUGGCCUGUUGUGUAGCCUUGUAAUGAUGAUACAGAUUCAAACUCCACUGUUGGAUCGAAGGGACGAUCAACGGCCGAGAUUAGACCCGAACUUGUAUAUAUAGGGGUCCCUCCCCCUCAUUUGAGCUCAGCUCAUUCAUAGUGAAUAUAUUCGCCCUUUGCACAACCGACCCUUGUGCUUGUGUGCGUGAGUUGAAAUGCUGACUUAGGAUCAUGAAUCCUAAGGCCGCACGGUGUUUGAUCGAUCAUGUUCGACCAACCCGUGACAAGUGGUAUCAGAGCGGGGAUCCCUUCAGUAGGUGGGUGAUUCGGGGAAAAGCCUGUGGUCUUCCUGAUCCUAUGAGGGUGGAGAGUGAUCGUCGAGGCCAAAAGAGCUCGGACAAUGUGCGGCUCUCGUCUAGCUUCUGGGAUGGCAAUGGGGGCAUAGGAAGGAACCGAAUAGCUCGCUGAACGGGGAUAACAUUCCUAGAUCAAUGGGCGAAUCUUAAGAAGAGGUCUGCAAUCACGUUUCCACCAAGGGAGACCCUCUGUUGGCUUGCAGAGAUCAAGAGGAGCUUAAUAGGCGAAAGAAGGUGCUGCCAUAGGGGUGCAAUUGGCUAGGGGUGCCACACUUGUCAGGGAGUACAAGUGACUAGAGAUUAGCGAACAACUUUGAUCAGGGGAAGCAUGCAAUAGAGUGGUGUGACUUGUUCUGUUGGGCGAGCGUUGCCAUCUAUGUAAGUCCUAGGAAGUGGCACUGAUGGUUAGAGAAACGCAGGGAAGCGACAGACCAGCCCGCAACGAAGGCGUUACGGAAUUGGGUGGGGGAGUUUGACAUGGUCCAUGAUUUUCCCGUACCCAUGAACCAUUGGGAACGAAGUUUGGGGUUAUCGAGUGAAGAGCGAGGGCGCAGAGAGGAUGAACACAACUAGUCCGUGGGAGUGGCGUCGGGACGGUUGGUGCUUGGAGUUCUAAGAUAGAAGGAUAAUAUUACUUAGGAGCUCUGAAGGCGGGGUUGGCCUCCUAUGCACAAACUAGUCGGGAGCUGAUGCCGCUCUCCUAAUGAGGCCAUGGCAGGCCGAAACCAAUUGUUAAGCCUAAAGAGGGCUGUUGUCUCGCUCGAUUGACUAGACGCCCGAGCCAAGCUGGGCGUGGUACGAUCUUGUAUGAAAAUAGCUAUUCAUCAUUUUGUUCAUUGGAACAACUAUAGAAGGAAGGCUGGCCUGGUGAAUAACGUUCGCUAGGCGCCACACGGGUUAAUCCGCAACCAAGGAAACUAUCGACCCGUGACAAGUGGUAUCAGAGAGAUCGUUCCUAGCGCAAUGGCUGAUCCUCGUGCUGAUGUCCCGGUCGUGUAAGGCGAUGACCAAGAGGAUCGUGGGCGUCAAGCCGAGAAGGCCACCAGGUCGAAGAAGAACCGUGCUAUCUCGUGUUCGAGGGAUCCAAAGGGGGAUUUGGAAAACCGAAUGACAAUCCUAGAGGAGACCGUCACGGACGUCCAAGCAUUGAUGGACGACCUGAACCAGACCGUCAAUGGAGCGCAAGCCGGUAGGGAGGAGUUCUUGGCCGAAGUGCAAGAACUCAAAGCCGGCAUGGGAGAGCUUCGGGUCAAGGUACUAGGAUCUCUCACGCACGAGCUACAACAACGAGACGAGACUUGGGAGACCGCGAUGGUGGCCAUGUGCGCGGAGAUGGCCGAGCUGAAAAGCAAGCUCGCCGAGCUUGAAGCUGCACGCAUGAACGGGGUGAUCACCGUGCAAUCACGUGCCGAUGCACCCAAGCCGAAAGAGUUCAAUGGCUCGCGAGUAGCAAAUGACAUGGACAACUUCCUGUGGUAUAUGGAACACUACUUCCAGACCAUGGGAACGACUGACGACAUGAUUCGGGUAAACAUCGCAGCCAUGUAUUUAGCUGAUGAUGCGUUAUUAUGGUGGCAUCGUAGGUCGGAUGAUAGAAAUGGCGACCCUAUCACGACAUAGGCUCGGUUCGUCGAGGAAUUUCGGCGAACCUACUAUCUCGCUUAUGCAGAAGAGGAAGCUCGCGGGGAACUCAAGAGCCUAAAGCAAAAAGGCGGAGUCCACGACUAUGUGAAGCGAUUCUCAGAGCUGCUACUCUAAAUCCCGUCCAUGACCGAGACGGAGGCAUUCCACCAGUUCAUGAGCGAACUCAAACUAUGGGUCAAGCAAGAGCUCAAACGGUGCAAUGCAACGGAUCUCACAACGGCUACUUCCGUGGCUGAGUCCCUUGUGGAAUACAGGCCGGCAUCCUCGGCCAAGCCUGACUCUCGGUCGAGAGAAAAUGCCACUAAUGGGGGAGAUCGGAGCCGGUACCAUCGUCUGAACAGAGGCAAAUCGCCUUCGGUCCCUCCUAGGACUCAACCUAAGUCGAGCAACGGAGGAUACCAUCGUAACGUACGCACCUAUAACUGCUUCCUUUGUGACGGUCCCCAUAUGGCCCAAGAUUGCCCGAAAAGAGGGAAGUUGGCAACCUUGUGCAAAGAGGAUAAACCGCAAGAGGAGGCGCGGUUGGGAUCGUUACGGAUCCUUGGGUCCUUGGGUCGAUCGAGGCCAAGAAGGCCAAGGAACCCAAAGGAAUGAUGUUUGUAGAUGUGAAGAUCGGUGGUACCACGAUGAGUGCACUCAUGGAUAACGGGGCGUCCAAACUCUUCAUAUCCAAAGAGGCCGCGAAGAAGCUGAAGCUUCUAGUCGAGACAGGUGAUGCCGGUUGGCUCAAAAUGGUGAAUUCCAGAGAAGUCCCGACCAGCGGCAUGGCUAAGGACGUGGAGUUUCACCUCGGUCCAUGGACAAGCCGGGAGGACAUCGAGGUAAUCCACCUUGACGACUAUCACUUCGUGCUUGGUUUAGGAUUCCUUGAUGGGAUCAAUGCGGGCGUUAUGCCCUUCACGGAUUGUAUUUGCAUCCUAGAUAAGUGGUGCCAAUGCAUGGUCCCAAUUUACCGCGAGUCGAGACGCGAUAGGAAAAUGCUAUUGGCCAUACAGCUGACUAAGGGGUUACAGAAAGGCGAGGUGACCUUCUUGGCAGCGUUGAUGGAGGAGGGCGCUAAAGAAAGUGAGGUACCGGGAGAGGUAGCCUGAGUCCUCGACGUUUUUCAAGACGUGAUGCCGCUCGAGUUGUCCAAGAAGCUGCCUCCUCGGAGAGAAGUGGACCACCGGAUCGAGCUCGUGCCAGAUGCUCGAUCGCCGGCCAUGGCACCCUAUCACAUGGCCCCGCCCGAAUUAGAAGAACUAAGGGAAAAACUCAAAGAUUUGUUCGAUGCGGGAUACAUUUGACCGUCCAGGGCCCCGUUCGAUGUGCCAGUUUUGUUCCAAAAGAAACAUGACGAAUCCCUCCGCAUGUGUGUUGACACCUAAAAAAAAUAAAAUUAUUGCAUGUAGAUUAUCUAGGUAUUUAGUAUAGUUUUUUAAAAUGGAAGAUGUUUUUUCCUAAAAAAAAAAAAUUAAAAAAUUAAAUUAAAAAAAAUUAAAAAAGAAAAAAAAAAGUUAAAAAAAAAGAUUAAAAAGGAAAAAAAAAGAAAAAAAUUUGGGGCCAAUGAUCUAAAUGUGACUAGCCAAGCCCAAGAGGUCAAAUUGGAAUUGAAAUGGCAAAUUGGUGCCAAAAUGCAAUUUCCAAAAGUUGAGGGACCAAUUCGCAAAUUUUGCAAAAUUUCACUCGAGCCCUUAAAUCAUCAUUUGGGCUCCCAAUUGAGUUAAAAUUGAACUUGGGUCAAGUCUAAUUAAUCGAAUCAGGCAAAAAAGGACCUAAUUGCAUUGUAUUUGGGAUUCUCGGGCAAGAAAAUGGCCAACUUUGAGGGACUUUCUUGCAAAAUUGGGUGGAGACAAUUGCGAAAAAUGGUCAAGAUCUUAAACUACUAUAUAUGAUCUUGCUAAUUGAUCGAAAAUCGCAGCCAAAUUCAUGGAUUAAAGCACCUAAACCAGCUGACAAAUCCCAGUCCUCAAGUUGGUCUGAAGUCGGAGCUGCUGAGUAAGCAACUUGGUGGCCCCACCAUAUCCUCCUUAGCUGUCCAACCGGCCUGCUCUUUGCACGUGAUGGAAGACCGUAAUGAGUAGUGCAAGUGGACGGAAAUUUGCCAGGGAUAAGCCGCUGAAAGCACGGGAAAGUCGCAGCAAAAUCGGCACACUCAACAUCUGCAAGAUUUGAAAAUUCUGGCUAAGUCAGAAAGUGGGUGGAUAGCUCAGAUGGCAGGCUUGGUAGGUGGACAAAAAGCCGACCAAGAGAUUUAUGAAUCCGGGGGAUAAGAUCACAGAAGGGAUGAUUUUCAAGGGAUGAGAGAAAGGGACGAGGGAGAGAGGGGAGAGCUCGGAAUCGUUACCCAAAGACACCUUCAGAAGCAACUCCAGAAAAGCAAAAACCCAGAAAAUCCAGACCGACCUUGAGAGAGAAAAGUGAGAUUUUCACAACUCUUCGGCCAAAAUUAGCCAAAACCUUCAACUAGAGAGUGAAACUUCAUUCAAAUAUCUUUCCAUCCAUAGGUCGCACGUUCCAAAUGGAGAUCGGGAAGGCCUCCUAAAGCCCCCCGAAAGUACACCCUCCUGGCGGGCCAAGAAACACUGGAAAUUUUUCCAAGUGUUGAGCCCGAUUGGUCACGAGUGAGGGAAAGCCAGUGUUUUUUUGAGAAAUUUGAGAGACAAAUGAGGAAAAUAUUGAAUUUUACCGCAAACUAGAAUAAAUAUAGUUUUUUUUGUGUCAAUUUUUCCAACAAAAGACGUCUUGAAGUCUAAUUUUAGAGGUCAAAGAAAACCUUCAUUGUCAGUUCUUUUUUUCUGCAUAUCUCAUUUCCAGUUGAAGAAGCCAACUUACACGGGCCCCCGAGGAUAAUUUCUUGGUUUCCUCGGCCGUGAACCAUUUGAAAAGGAAACUAGGAAGCAAGGUAAGCAUCAUAGAUGUAUUUGUUUUCGAGUUUGGGCAUGUUUUAAUCAUGAAAAUCAAGAGGAAAACCAGCCCGGAAAACUGAUUUCUGAGGCUGAAAUUUUUCUAAGUGUUUGAAAUCUCUUCAAGAGUUUUGCAUGUGUGCUUCUUGGAGAGGUCGUUUUGAUGUUGUUCGGUGAGUCAUUCUCUAUGAUAUUUGUUGCAUUUGAAAGCCCAUGUUACCUACUUUCACACGGAUUAAGUAGCAUUUCCCUUAGAUCUUGUAUGUGAUGAGUGCCGGGGCUUGAAUAUGGGCAUGUAACCUGUUUGCUUGACUUGGGUUCAAACCCAGAUUUGCAAAAUCAGUUAAAACCCGUGCAUUUGAGGACGAUUUUAGCUUGGUUCUAGUGUGUUUUUAGCUAUGAUUUCUAUCUAAUCUUGUUCUUUGCAUGUGUUAGUAUAAUCUUGAUACUUUAGUUCCACAUGAGAUUGCUUAUGAGUGGAGAUUGAAGGCUGCAAACAUGGCUCGAGGAGGCUAUUGGGGCUAGUUUAAUGCACACCAAGUGUUCGACAAAAUGCCCAAACUAAGCUUCGAUCUUGAAACGGUCGAUUUGAGCUUGAUUAUUGUGAUAUUCAUGUGCUGUGUUACUCCAUGUUAGCAUAGAUCGGUUUAAGGAAUUAUUAUUAAUUAAAAAAAAAUUUAAAAAAAAAAGAGAAAAAUAUGAAAAUUUCAAAAAUAUCAAAAAAUGUUCGAUAGCAUCAAAUUAGGAUAGAAAUGACAUAUAUGAAAUUUUCCUAAUUUUAAAAGAUCAUUUUCCUAAUUUAAUACUAUUUUGGUAUUUUAUAACCAUUUUUGUAAAUAAUCCAUUUUGCGUAGAUUAAAACUAUUUAAAGUAAUUUCAUGCAUAUAGAGUAAUUUCAUGCAUAUUUGAAUUCUCAUUUUGCUCAUGGGGGUUCUGUCCCGGGGCGUGAUAACAAGGCCAUGUAAUAUUAUUUGCCCGACUUGUAUCGGGUUUACCUUUUCCGCGUUUAUUUUCAAGUCAUUUCAAUUUCUUGGAUGUUUACUUACGCGCUGCUUUUCAUUAUUUUGAGUGUAAAUUUCUCUUCUAAAUUAUGUUAGGAUUAGUCUAGACAUUAAAAAAAAAAAAAAACUACAAAAAUAUUUGCAUGGACACUUAGUGGUUUCAUAAAAAUUAUAAUUGGUAAUCAAGAUUGUAUGGCCAUUUAGAUAAACAACCUUCCAAAUUAGUGGUACCGCAAGGGCGCUAAUAGAAACAUUGGCGUAAACAAGUCCCCGUUCCUAGAAAUCUUUGGUUGCGUAUGAAUCGAGACAACACUCCCGUGUCUUGAUUGGUUUCUAGCCGACCCCAAUAGGCUAAUGGCGACUCCUAGAAUUACAUAGGUUGUUAAGAACUAAAAAAAAAAACGAAUCCAACGUCGCGCGGGGUAUGGACUUGGGAGAGCCCUCGCCUAAUCUAGGGCCAUUGGUCCACCUCUUUAGGCAAAUACCCCUAAACCUUCUUCUUUUUCCCCGGACGGAAAAAAGGAGGUCGUGACAAUGUGCAUCGACUACCGAGCAUUGAAUAAACUCACCGUCAAGAACAAGUACCUGAUUCCUCUUAUUGCAGACUUGUUCAAUCAGCUCGGGGAAGCCCGAUGGUUCUCCAAGCUUGAUCUUCGAUCGGGAUACUAUCAAGUUCCGAUUGCUGAAGGGGAUGAGCCAAAAACCGCGUGCGUGACCCGCUACGGAUCAUACGAGUUCCUCGUCAUGCCUUUUGGCUUGACCAAUGUGCCGACUACGUUCUGCACACUCAUGAACAAGGUACUUCACCCGUUCCUUGAUCGGUUCAUUGUGGUUUACCUUAAUGACAUCGUUGUAUAUAGCCGGACGCUCGAGGAACACGUCGAGCACUUCAGACGAGUUUUCCAGCUCCUACGGGAAAACGACUUGUACAUGAAACGUAAGAAAUGCGCUUUCGUGCAAAAGGAAGUUCCUUUCCUCGGGCACAUCGUUGGGGGCAAACGAGUGCGAAUGGACGCGGCCAAAAUACGUGCCAUUGUUGAAUGGGAACCACCGACUAAGGUGACGGAGUUGAGAUCCUUCAUUGGUCUCACGAACUACUAUCGGCGCUUCAUCCAGGGAUAUUCGAGCCUCACCGUGCCACUCACGGACAUGCUGAAGAAGGAAAGGUCGUGGGAGUGGAUGGAUCGGUGUCAAGAGGUGUUUGAUCGGUUGAAGCGGGCCAUGACCGAGUAGCCGGUGCUUGUUCUACCCGACUACACCAAACCAUAAGAGGUAGAGACCGAUGCUUCUGAUUUUGCUAUAGAUGGUGUCUUGAUGCAAGAAGGGCAUUCGGUUGCCUUUGAGUCUCAGAAAUUGAACGAUACCAAGUGACGAUACAUGGUCCAAGAUAAGGAAAUGACCGCGGUGAUGCAUUGCCUUCGUACGUGGAGGCAAUAUCUCUUGGGAUCGCGGUUCAUGGUGAGGACCGACAACAUGGCCACGAGCUACUUCCAAACUCAAAAGAAGCUCAGCCCGAAACAAGCUCGAUGGCAAGACUUCCUAGCCGAGUUUGAUUACGUGUUGGAAUAUAAGCCCAGAAAGUCCAAUUCCGUGGCCGACGCCCUAAGCAGGAAGCUGGAAUUGGCCAAUGUGGUCAGCCGACCCGACUGUCCAUGGAUUGAUCGUAUCAAGGAGGGGCUGAAACGUGACCAAACUGCCCAAGCCCUCCUUCAAUACCCCCAAGAGGGCAAGACGAGGCGGUUUUUGUAAGGACCCGGGCCUCCCACUGUGUAAUAUUGUCCAUUUUGGGCCUUCGGCCCUCACGGCUUUAAAACGCGUUACACAAGUUAGAGAACCCAAGCCUUAUAAACCAGCCCAGGACUCCCCCCUAAGCGAUGUGGGACAGGAGACACGUCCCUUCCCUGCACACGUCCGGGGACCGAGGCGCGGACGCACCACCAUCCCUCCUUCUCGUGUACCGCCGCCUGGGCCGUCACACUCUCCCCCCCUUGGGAGCACAGCGUCCUCGCUGUGGCCCCACAUGCGGUCAGGAGUCGGCUCUAAUACCAUUUUUAAGGACCCGGGCCUCCCAUUGUGUAAUAUUGUUCACUUUGGGCCUUCGGCCCUCACGGCUUUAAAAUGCGUUACACAAGUUAUAAACUAGCACAGGACUCCCUCCCUAAGCGAUGUGGGACAGGAGACGCGCCCCUUCCUUGAGCACGUCCGGGGACUGAGGCGCGGACGCACCGCCAUCCCUCCUCCCCGCGCACCGCCGCCUGGGCCGUCACACUGACACUGUGCAUUGCACUCAAAUGCCUAGGGUGUUACGGUUUUUGUGAGAGGAUGAUCUCCUCUACACCAAGGGACGGCGACUAUACGUGCCGUUCUACGGGAAACUCCAGAAGAAGGUGAUGCACGAGUGCCACGACUCCAAAUGGGCGGGUCAUCUGGGAAUCCACCGCACCAUGGCACUCAUCGAGGAUCAAUAUUAUUGGCCACACAUGAGGGAUGACAUUGAAGCUUAUGUAUGGACAUGUCUUGUGUGCCAACAAGACAAGAUAGAGCAAUGGUCUCCGGCGGGGCUCCUUGUGUGACAUCCUGAAUUUCCAGUUUUGUUUUCAAUUGAAUAAAUUGGGCUUUUCAUCGACGCGCCUAUAGUUCUUUUCCCUAAACUGAUCACUCACGAGAUAACUACUAUAUCAGGUGAAGCCGUUAAGGGAUUUUAACGCAAUAGACUUGAGAAUUCAAUCAGGAAUCGACUGCUCGACCGUGCUAAUCUACAAGGAUCAUUACAGCACUGUCAAAAUAGAUCAGAGAUCAGAGAUAAGUCGAUUCGACUGAGAUAUGUGAUCAGUGUGUGGGUGAUCCCAUCUGAUUGCAAAAUUCUUGUCGAACGGCACUGGACUAAUUGUUCUGUCAUUUCUGUACCCUGUGUCCGUAUUUGAAACCUCGAGAUUUUCACGACAACCGAGAGUCGCCAAUGUGUCGAAGAUGUACAGUGUGGCUCGAAAAUAAUCGACCACAAGUCAAUUGCACUAAAAAUUCCUAAAAGCUACCCGGUAGGUUAAGUCACACUAAAAUCGCGCCAGAUUGAAAUUAACCGCGAAUUUAAACCCGAUUUCAUAAAUUGAAAGUUCUGUUAUGUCACAAUGCAUUUUAGGACCGUCGACUCACCCUCCAAAGAUUUUUUUGCAAACCGAGAUUUUUGGCGAAAAUUCAAAGUAGGGCCGUUUUUUACAGGGAAAAUUAUAGGGCUGUUUUUUUAUCGCAUUUUUGGGAUUCAAGUUGGUUCAAUUGAUGAGGAAAAAUGUUGAAUUUGAUGAUGACACCUUGGCAGAAUUUUUAGGGCUUCAAUUGGAUCAAAUUGGAGGAGAAUUUAAUGAAAUUGAUGAGGCAAAUGUCCAAAUUCGUAGCCAAAGGGGGGAGCAACCUUUUAGACCUCUUCAAUGGCUUGUUGGGGAAGCUUGGGUGCUGCAAAUGGCUGAGGUUGAAGGCUGAAGUGGUGGGGGCAUGUGUGAUGAGUGAUUUGGACAAGUGUUGAAGACUUUGAGGCCAUUUGGGGUCCCCCUCUCUUCAGCAGCCCCUUCUUCCUCCUUGAGACUUGCUUUCCCCAUUGCUGAGUGUCUUUUGAAGCUUAGAAAACCAGAAGAAACCAGCAGCUCCUCCCCCUAGCCCGUCACAUGCCCGCUGGAGCCGCCAGGACCGCUGCUCACUGUCGCGCCCCCACGCGAGCCCGUCGCGCACCGUUCGCUAUCCCUCACCUCCUAUUGCACCCAUCCGUGCCCCCGAGCCUCCCUGGUCACCGUAGGGCUCAUCCGGAGCCCCGUCCACGCCGUCCAGCAGCCGUCGUCGCCCGCCGUCACCCCUGCUCGCCCGCUGCAGCCCCGUCCGCCCGUCCCUUGCCGUUUCCAGCCCCGUUUAAGCUUGCUCAGUCCUUAGACAGAACCGAGAAGCCCAGCCAGCCAUGAGCCUUCGUGGGCUAUUUUAGGCCUCUUCCGAGCCUUGCUUGGUGUCGCCGCACGCUUGUUUGUCGCCCGUCUCCAUGUCACCAUCGCCGUGGACUCACCGGAUCGCUAAACUAGUGAGUUUACUUGCUAAACUAUGCUUAGAGAGUUAAUGAUGCUUAAGGAGUGAUUAGUUUAGGCUAAGUAUAGUUUAGGUGGUUAGUUAGAUUAUAUUAGUGAUUUAAUUAUUCAUUUGUGCAUGUUAGGUGGUUAGAAUAGACUAAUUAGGGACUAGAUAGAUUGUGUUAUUUAUCUAGAUAGGUUCAGAAAUUUUCCGGGCCCGUUUCAGUGUUUAAUUAAGCAUUUCCGGCCUAAGUUUUUAUUUUUGGUAUUUAAUUACAUUUAUUUAAUUAUUUUUUAUAUUUAUUUAAUUAUUUAAUAUUUUUCAAAAAUUAUAUCGGGAUAGCCAGUGACCGGAAUUUCGUGCUGAUUGCAGUGGUGUGGUAAGUUUGUACAAUUGAUUGUUAAAUUGUGCAAUUGAGUGAUGAUUGUGAAAUUUGGUAUUUAAUUAGAAAAUACCGAGUGUCGGGGUUUGACACCGAAAAUGGUUUUACGUACCAUCUCAGCUUGUGUGAGCAAUGAAUUGUCAGCUUGUGUGAGCAUUGAUCAGUCAGCUUGUGAGAGCAUUAUUUUAUAUCAGCUUGUGCGAGCAUUAAUGUUUAUCAGCUUGUGCGAGCAGCAAUUGAUUUGGAAUUUGCAAUCGAUGGAAUUGGAUUGAAUUGGUCAAUUGGGUAUAUGAAUUGUACUGACUUGCAGGAAAGAACUAAGGCAAGGUGAGUCUUCUGUCUUGUGUGCAUAGACUGCCUCUAGGCGUAUUUCCUUCCUAGUCAGAGUUUAGGAUGUGAACUUACUGAGACAUUGUCUCACCCCAUCAUGGGCUCAAUAUUUUCAGGUCCUUAGAUGGCAGUUCCUCUGGAACGUUUUGGCCGACCCAUGAGGGUUACCGAGCUGGUUUUUAACUACCCCGAUCUCGGAAGUCACUAGGUCUAUGAACUGGUAGUGACCACCGUCUGAGUCGAAGAGGGCCUACCUCAUAGGGUGCCUCAUCGAUUCAGAGCGUGGUCUCGUUACGGACCCAAUGGAUUCAGGGUGGGUCCCCAUUGGAGUUUUGAAAUCCCCGAUGUGGUAGUCGAUGCCACUCUAGGUGAGAGUGCAGCUGACCCUCCUGAUGGUGUGGUGGAGAACCCGACGCCCCCGGAGCCGGUGGAGACCGAAGGAUCAACAAAUGUGUCCGACUAGCUGGUCUUAGGACAGCUUCUUUCUUUUAGAGCCGGUCUUUUGUGGACUUUUGUCUAUAGACUAGUAUUGUAAAUAAACUAGUCGGUUGUGUAUAAAGGUUUGUUUUGGUUGUGAAAUUGUGGUCCUGCUUUUCUAUCCCAUCUUUGUGUUGUCAAGGGUAUUAGUUCGCUUCCGCAUGCGCAUUAAAAUAAAUGGGUCGGUGACGCAUCCUGGGACGUUGCAUUUUUAUCGACCAUCGAGGGAUGGGCAAUCGCUCGAGGAUCGGGGCGUGUGUUGACACCUAAAUUUUUGCCCAAAAAUCAUUUCCGAAAAAAUGAAAACUUGUUUUUCCAUAAAUAAAAAAAAAAUAUAUAUAUAUAUAUAUAUAUAUUGCAUAUAGAUUACCUAGGUGUUUAGUAUAUUUUUUUAAAUUGGAAGAUGUUUUUCCAAAAAAAAUUAAUUAAAAAAUUAAUAAAUUAAUGAAUUAAUAAAAAUUAAAAAAUAUAUUAAAAAAUAAAAUAAAAUAAAAUAAAAAAUAAAAGAAGAAAAAAAGUUGGAGUUGAUGAUCUGAAUGUGACUAGCCAAGCCUAGGAGGUCAAAUUGGAAUUAAAAUGGCAAGUUGGGGCCAAAAUGCAUUUUCUAAAAGUUGAGGGACUUAUUUGCAAAUUUUGAAAAAAUUUCACCUGAGCCCUCAAAUCAUCAUCUUGGCCCCCAAUUGAGUUGAAAUUGAACUUGGGUCAGGUUUAAUUAAUCGAAUCGGGCAAAAAAAGACCAAAUUACAUUGAAUUGGGUGUUAGUUUUCCUCGACCUUCCUACCUGGUUGGGGGUUGUUUUUUGUUUGUUUUUCUGGUGUGGCUUUCUGCCGCCCUAGCUAUGUACCGGCUUUCUGUUUGCCGUGCUUGUUUUGUUGGUUGUGCGGCUCUGUUUUCUUUUGCCGCGGUUGGUCCUUUUACGUCCCGAUAUCCUUCCACUCAGGUUGUUUUUCUUCUUGAGUGUAAGUUUCGGUGCCAGGAUUUUCUGUACAUUUGCCUGUCCUCAAUAUAAUUAUUACCCUUUCUACCAAAAAAAAUUACAUUGAAUUGGGCAUUUUCGGGUAAGAAAAUGCCCAACUUUAAGGAACUCUCUUGCAAAAUUGGGUGGAGACAAUUGCGAAAAAUUGUCAAGAUCAUAAACUACCAUACAUGAGCUUGCUAAUUGAUCAAAAACCGCAGCCAAAUUGAUGGAUUAAAGCACCUAAACGAGCUACCAAAUCCCAGUCCACGGUUAAGUCUUAAUUCGGAGCUACUAAGUAGGCAUAUUGGUGGCCCCACCAUAUCCCACUCAGCCACCCAAUUAGCUUGACCUCUGCAUGUGAUGGAAGACCAUUAUUGGUAGUACAAGUGGACAAAAAUUGGUCAGGGAUAAGCUGCUGAAGGCACGGGAAAAUCGCAGCAAAGUCCAGACACUCAGCAGCUGUAGAAGUUGAAAAUUUUGGCUUAGUCAGAAAGUUGUUGAAGUAGCCCUGUUGACAGGCUUGGUAGGUGGACAAAAAAUCGACCAAAAAUCCCUUAAUUCAGGGGAUAAGAUCACUGAAGCAAGGUCUUUGAGGGCAUGAAAGAGAGGAGACGAGAAAGAAAAGAAGGAGCUCACGGCCGUUCUCCAAAGAGACUCUCAAAAGCAAUUCCAGAAAAAGCAAAACCCAGAAAUUCCAUAUCAACCUUUAGAGAGAAAAGUGAAAUUUUCACAAACUUUCAGCCAAAAUUAGCCAAAACCUCAACUAGAGAGUGAAACUUCACUCAAAGAUCUUUCCAUCCAUAGGUCGCACGUCCCAAAUAGAGUUCGGGAAGGUCUCCUAAAGCCCCCCGAAAACCACCCUCUUGGCGGGCCAAGAAAGUCCGAAAAUUUUUCUAAAUGUUGAGCCCGGUUGGUCACGGUUCUUGUUUCUGCAGAUCUCAUUUCCAGUUUGAAGGAGCCAACUUCCACAUGCCCCCCGAGGAUAAUUUCUUGGUUUCCUCAGCCAAGAACCACAUGCAUGAAAGGGAUGUUACUCAUGCCAAGCAAGAAACAUUUAGGAUGAGGAAAGGCAAUCCAUUUCCAAACAUGUCCUUUGAGCACUCUGGGAUUCGAGGGAAAAAGAAAACCCGCGUCGUUUAAGGUCAAUGAAUUCAUUCGCAAGCGGUACAUAGAUCAAGAUGAUAAGAGGCAUUUCUUUCCUCUAUCAUACGCACUACAAGUGACAAUAGUUAGCCCAUUUGAGCCUUUUAAUGUGAAGAAUUUUCUACAAAAUACCCCUAUUGAGAACCACCCCCACGAUGGGGCAAUUAUGGAGGUUUGGGUUGACAUUAUUUGGAGAGGAAAGAUGAGAAAGGUUUCUUUGCUCUCACUUGCAUAAAUCUUUUUGCGAUAACUUCAGGUGAAUUCUUAUGGAAGCUCGAAGCAUCCCAAGGUGAAGAAGAGCAUUCUUUUCUCUACCCAAACACUGAUACCCUUUGCUUAAACCAAGUUGAGCCUAAUCGUUCAUUUCCAAAACUCGAGUGGUGUUAUCUCCCCACAUUAGGGCAAGGCAUAUGAUUUGCCAAGGCAAGUGAUGUUUACGUGAAAAUGCGGAAAGCAUCUCGAAAGUCCUAAGAGUUUAAAAAGUUCAAAAGAGCAAAAGUCAAAUGAAAAUUAGGGGGCAUGAAAAAGCAGUAUGCCUAGUAAAAGCAAAGCUAAUGCCCAUCACCCAAAAAAAAAGUAGAAGGAAAAACAAUUGCAGCAAGAGGAAUGUCUCUGUAAAAGCAAAAAUGACAAAAAACAAAAUGCUUAUACCAAAAGGAAAUCACUACAAAUGCAAAAGUCAUGAGAGAAAAGAGCAAAGCUCUUAUUUUGAAAUGAUUAGUCAAGGAACUUUCGAGACAAAUUCGAAUGCUUUCAAAAAAUCGAAUGACAUGGAAAUGAUGUCAUUGCAAUCACCAACUCUCAAAUCCCUCUUCGAAAAAGUGCUAAGCCUUUUAAGCCUUUCACCGAACCAACAUUACAACCCAUUCCCGAAGUCUCUUCAGAUUGGGAUGAUUCGAGUGGAAAUUAGGACUUCUCCAAAGAAGCUACUGUUCGAAGAAGUGAGAGUAGGGUUAUCUUAUCUCAUCUUAAGGUUUCUUGACUUGUAAACCUGGCGAAGAUGUCGAUUAGUGAUUAAUUCAUUUCAUAGCCAAUGAUGCUUAUCCAUUACUAAAACCAUGACCAAACUUGCACUACGGUCCUCCUAAAAGACCUUUUAGAUUGGUCAAUGUGUACUUAUUGCGAAUGAUUCAAAGCCUUGCACACUAGAAAAGUGAGAUUGAGUGAUCAGUUUAUUUCCCACAUGAAUAAAUGGGAUUAAACAACCCUUUUCUUGAGAAUAUGUGAGAAGCCCUUUCUGAUUAGGGGUCCUUGCUUGGCAUACUUAACAGACCUUUCUCAUAAGUCAAGGUCACUUCAACAAGGACUUUCCUUCCAAGAGAAUUUGACGAUUAAUGAUAUCAUCCGAGCGUGAUGACAGUUUUGUAAGUUUGUUAAGUGGUCGGAAUUAGUUUGAUUUGUUUAUGCAAUCAUUGCCUUCUCAUUACCGAUACAUUUUUGAUAUUGUUUCUGAUGACAUGUGUUGAAAUUGACCUCAUCUACUAUGCUUCCGCUACUAGAAUACUUGUUAUAAUGAAUUCUAUUUGAUGUGUUGUAUCCAUUUCAAAAUAUUCUCGAAUGACAGGUUUCUUUAGAAAAACUACACGAUUUUCAAGAGGUUCUUGGUCAUCCUUAAACCUUGCAAUUCUAAAGGGUUCAUGGGUUAGCCUUAAACCAUGCAUUUUCAAGAGGUUCUUGGUCAUCCUUAAACCUUGCAAUUCUAAAGGGUUCAUGGGUUAGCCUUUGUCACGCCCCAAUCCUCCGAGUGCGCGCACAUCCCACUCUGGUCGAUACAAAUGCGACUUCCCAGAACACGUCGCCGACCCAUUCAUUUUUAUUACACAUGCGGAAGCGAAACAAAACCCCUGACAACAUUUAACUUGGGAUAGAAAAAUAGGCAAUCAAUCACAACCAAUCAAGCUUUCUUAUAAACACAUAGGUUUAUAUACAACACUAGAUUGUCUACAAAAUAGACAAGCUCAACAAAAAGGGAACUGUCCUAAGACCAACUAGUCAGACACGUUCACCGAUCCUUCGGUCUCCACCUCCACAAUUGUCCAUGGCUUCGAGUCCUCCACGACCGCCAUCUAAGGACCUUAAAAUAUUAUCCCACAACCGAGAUGAGACAAUGUCUCAGCGAGUCCUACCCUCUAAGACCCGAUUAGGAAGAAAAUACGCCUCAGAGCGCUCUAGCCACACAAAUAGGAUAGAGGACUUACCUCGCCUCAGUUCCUUCCUGCACGUCAGUUUGAUCAAUAAAUAUUGACAACCACAUCAUCCAAACAAUUCAAUUACUCGGAUCGAUUCCGCGAUCAAUCGACUCAGUCGAUUACAUGUCAUCGAAAUCAUCACACGGUCAUUCUGACUAUUCAUUCUCGACUCUCAAUCAUGGCCUUACAGGCAAGUCUAUAUGUAGUGGCAUCACAGCCCCACUCAACAAUAUUUUAUGUAGUGGCAUCACAGCCCCACUCGACAAUGUUAUAUGUAGUGGCAUCACGGCCCCACUCGGCAAUAUUUUAUGUAGUGGCAUCACGGCCCCACUCGGCAAUAUUUUAUGUAGUGGCAUCACGGCCCCACUCGGCACGACCGAUUCCAAAUUCGGUGGUAAAUCACUGUCCAACAGGACACAGCCGAACUUCGACAAUUUUCUAGAUCCAUUCACAACCUUUCACCAUCAAAUUCCAAUCAAAUAUCAACACUAAACAUCCUUGGGAUAAAUCCCCACAUAAACAUCCAUUCAAUCAAUCCAUACAAAUUGGACCUACCAACCAAUUACGGUGCCAAAAGCCGACACCGGGUAUUUUCAAGUUAAAUACCAAAACUUCAUCAAUAUUACUCAAUUCCACAUCUUUGGAAUAAUUAACCAUAACCAUCAUUCCACUCAAUUUCUCAAUUAAACAUACAGUUAGCACAAACCGACCGCACUGCUGCGAUCAGCGCGAAAUUCUAACGACCGACCAUCCCGGCAAAAUUUUUGAAAUUAUUAAAUAAUUAAAUUUAAUUCCGAAAAUUAAAUAAUUAAAUAUUAUAUUAUAAUAAUAUAAUUUAAUAAAAAUAAUAUUUAAAAAUUCGAAAUAAUUAAUUAGGGCUUAAACAAGAUUACACUAAUUUAAACAUACAAUUAGCCUUAAUUAAACAUCCAUUAAACUAAUCAUACAACUAAUCUAAUUUACAUUAAAAUAAUCUAAUUUAAUCACAUAAACCUAAUUAGACGAAUCUAAACACCCCUUAAGCGUCAUUAACUCACUAAGCAAGGAUUAGAGGAUAAACUCACCUAAUUAACGAGCCGAACGGCUCAAAAUGACGGGGACGACGCAAGGGUCGAUAGUCUCCAAGGCGGACCUAGCUUCCGAGGUCGGGAAGUCAGCCAAAACGGGCCAAAACUCCACUGCGAUACCCAUUUUUUUCCUCUCUGUCCGCUGCUGGUUGAGGGCGGAUCCGGCGCCGGUUGAGGCGCACAAGGGCCGAGAUGGGCUGAGGGAGUCCUGGCGGGCCGAGGCGAGGGUGUACGACGGUCCACGGCGGCUCUGGCAGUGGCUCAUGGUGCUGGACAGCAGCUAGAACGCAAGCUAGUCGGGAACGACGGCUAGAACGGCGGGCUUGGCGAGCGUGGACGGCGGGGUGUCGCGAGCGGCGGAUGGCGCGCAAGGGGUGCGCAACGGCGGUCCGACUGGACUGCUUGCUGCUCCGGCGUCCUCAGAUCUGCUGGGUCUUCGAGCAGGAACCGGAGAUGGAGGAGAAAGGCAGCAACAGGAGAGGGAGAGGGGAAACGGAGGCGUGCAGGCUGAGGAGCGGCUAUGACGGCAUGCAGCGGCGGCGGAUCUAGCUCCAGCGGUGGCUGCGACGAUUGUUGGCUUCACUGGUCUUCAUUUUGCAAGGCAUCGUACAUCAAGGAGAGAGAUGGAAGAGAAGCUCGACGGAAGAGAAAGGGGAGAAAAGGGAACCGGUUCUCUCCCUCUCUCUCUUUCUCUCUCUCUCUUUGGCCCCACAAACAUGGCCCACCAUGACCUCAUGUGAUGUCACCUUCCACUCACCUCCAAGCUUCCAAGACAAGCUUCUAAUGGGUCCAUUUUGCGUAGUCCACCAUGGCAUACGAAUUUCACUUAUUUGUACAUCAAAUCCAAUCAAUUCUCACUCAAUUCCAUCCAAUUAAAGCUCAAUUAAAUUAACCCAUGUGUCCUUAACCUUCUUAUGACUUUUCCCCAUUAAAUGAUCCAACUUGCAUCCCAAAGAUUCGUUUUAAAACGGCCCUCUAACAAUCUCGAAGAAAAACGGCCUUACUUUGCUUUUCUGCCAAAAAUCUCGGUUUGUAGAAAAAUCUUCUGGAGAUGAGUCGACGUUCCUAAAAUGAAUUGUGACUUGACAGAACUUCCAAUUUCUGUAAUCGGGUUCAAUUUCACGGUUAAAUUCAAUCUGGCGCGACUUUAGCGCGUCCUAACCUACCGGGUAGCUUUUAGGAAUUUCCUGUGCAAUUGACCUGUGGUUGAUUAUUUUCAAGCCACAAAGUGCAUCUUCGACAUAUUGGCGACUCUCGGUUGUCGUAGAAUUCUCGAGGUUUCGAUUACGGACAUAGGGUACCCAAAACAACAGAAGAAUCAGUCUAGUGCCGGUCGACGAAGAUAUUGCAAUCAGGUGGAAUCACCCACACUCUAAUCACAUAUCUCAAUCGAAUCGACCUAUUACUAAUCUAUGUUCGAUUCUGACAGUGUCGUAAUGAUCCUUGCAGAUUAAAACGGUCAAGCAGUCGGUUCUUAGUCAAAUUCUCAAGUCUAUUGCGUUUAGAUUCCUUAACGGCUUCACCUGAUAAACUAGUUAUCUCGUGAGUGGCCAACUCAGAGAAGAGAGCUAUAGGCGCGAAGAUGAAAUGCCCGACUUAUUCAAUUGAAACCAGAAUUGGAAAAUCAGGAUGUCACAACUCUUCCCCUCUUAUAAAAAUUUCUUCCUCGAAAUUUAAACCAUCAAAAAAUUUUCUUCAAAAUGGUGGCGUAUUGUCGUCUCAUCCAUUUUGCUCCUUCAUUCUGCUUCACACUGCUAUCCAAGAUCCUUGGUGCCAACGAAACAUUUCCAAAUUGACCAAACCAAUUCUUGAUUCCCUAAAGGCUAAGCACUUGUCCAUCUUUACAAAAAUGAAAGUUGCAAAAGUUUUGGUUCUUUUUCUUUUCUUUUUAUUUUUCCACAAAGCAGCUAACUGCCGCGUCGGGGAUUCGAACUCCCGACUUCGGACUGUUCACUUCCUUCCCGGGUACCACUCGACUAGAGGCGCCGACGGUGCUCCAAACUGCUUUCUUUUUCCAUUUAAAGCCAAAAUCCUCCUUUGAACUCAAAUUUCGAUAGAUUCCGAUUUAAAUGAUGCUUCAUCUUCCUUUCCUUAACCAAACGCGAUGUCUCUAUCAUAGGCGACAUCCAAGGAUGAACAGGAUUCUCAACCGAAGGUUUUCGAUGCUUAAUUGCGUAAAUUUUUCGGCGGCUUUGAGCGGCCUUUAAUCUGUCACUGAUAUUCGUAACUGCAUUCGCUGACUGCUAAACUGACUCUGGGCUGCAACCUUUCAUUCUAUGAUCUCAACUCAACAACUGAAGUUCUGUACACUCUGUUCAGCACUGACUAAAAAGAAACUAUCUGACUGAUCUGCUGAAACUGGGAAUCUCUGGUCCAAAUCUGAUACAACUCAGUCACUGUCACUCUAAGCAUAUGAACUAUUUGACACACAUACACUUCUGCAUGCUUAAUCAAAUCAAGAUCCUUCUACACAGCCACAAGAUUGGCUGAUUUCAUCAGUCUGUCAAUUACUUUCCAAAAUGAAAUUAUUACCACAUUGACCCCUUAGACGACCUGUCACAACUUCCAUUGUGACGUGUUCCCACUUCCUCACGGAGAUAUCGAGAGAUUACAAAGGUCCUCUCGAAUUGCAAAACCGUGCUUUCUCUUGAUAGCAUAUCUGACACUUGCAACCUGUCAGUGAUAUCUGUCUUUACAACGGUCUACUAAUCCUGUUGAUGCAAAUUCUGACUCAUCUUCGUACUGUUUGGACAACGCUGAAGCUGCUACGACAAGCUUCCGAUAAGAUCUCUUCUUUAAUCACUGUAUCAUUAGGUACACUUAAUCGUUCUCGGAACCUUAGUGUUCCGUUCUCAGAAAUCUAAAAAUCAGCCUUUCUCUUAACUGUAUUCUCUUACAUAAUCUUUUGAAUCUCUGAGUCUGUCCACUGAAGCAUCUGAUUCUAACCUGAAUAUCCGAUUCAAUUCUGAGGGUGGCCAUAAAAUUUGAAGGUGGCCUACCUCAGAUUUGAAAAUCGAAUUUCGAACUUUCUCAAGUAAGGUCCAUACUUUAACCAGCAUAUGCACAAAUGAAGACUCGACUCAACGCAUCAGUGACUUCUUUCAUCCUUCCAGGGUGAUACCAGAUACCACCAUCCUAGUCCUUCAAAAGAUCUGGUUCACAGCAGUAUCUCAUAUUUAAUUCCUUCUGAGAGAAUAAAUACUUUGAGACUUUUAACGGUCAGCGAAGAUCUGGAGUCUUUUUUUCACACCAACAAUAUCUCUAAAUCUUCAGAGCGAAAAUUAUUGCUGCGAAUUCCAAGUCAGGCGUUGGGUAAUUCAGUUCAUGAGGUCUCAACUGACGGGACGCGUAUGCAACAACCCUGCCAUGCUGCAUCAGCACGCAACCUAGUCCUCUAAACAACGCAUCACUAUAGAUCUCAUAACCUCCAUAACCAGACGGUAUGGUCAGCACAGGUGCGGUAGUCAGCUUUUGCUUAAGCUCUUGGAAACUAUACUCGCACUUGUCUAUCCACACGAACUUCUUUUCUUUCUUCAGUAGUCGAGUCAACGGCGAAGCUAAGGUUGAAAACCCUUUCAUAAACCUUCUAUAAUACUCUACUAAACCCGGAAAACUUCUUAUCUCUUUCACUGUAGUCAAUCUCGACGAAGAUAUUGCGAUCAGGUGGAAUCACCCACACUUUAAUCACAUAUCUCAGUCAAAUCGACCUAUUACUGAUCUUUGUUCGAUUCUGACAGUGUCGUAAUGAUCCUUGCAGAUUAAUACGGUCGAGCAGUCAGUUCUUGGUCGAAUUCUCAAGUCUAUUGCGUUUAAAUUCCUUAACGGCUUUACCUGAUAGACUAGUUAUCUCGUGAGUGGCCAACUCAGAGAAGAGAGCUAUAAGCGCGAAGAUGAAAUGUCUGACUUAUUCAAUUGAAACCAGAAUUGGAAAAUCGGGAUGUCACAGCCUUAAACCAUGCACUUUGAAGAGGUUCUUGGUUAUCCUUAAAACCUUGCAAAUCACAAGGUUAGUGGGACUGCCUUAAACCACACGGUUAGUGGGUUUGCCUUAAACCACAAGGUUAGUGGGACUGCCUUAAACCACAAGGUUCGUGGGACUGCCUUAAACCACAAGGUUAAUGGGACUACCUUAAACCACAAGGUUAGUGGAACUGCCUUAAACCACAAGGUUAAUGGGUCUGCCUUAAACCACAAGGUUCGUAGGACUGUCUUAAACCAUAAGGUUAGUGGGACUGCCUUAAACUACACGGUUAGUGAGACUGCCUUAAACCACAAGGUUCGUGGGACUGCCUUAAACCACAAGGUUAGUGGGACUGCCUUAAAUCACAAGGUUAGUGGGACUGUCUUAAACCACACGAUUAGCGGGACUGUCUUAAACCACACGAUUAGCGGGACUGCCUUAAACCACACGGUUAGUGGGACUGCCUUAAACCACAAGGUUCGUGGGACUGCCUUAAACCACACAGUUAGUGGGAUUGCCUUAAACCAUAAGGUUAGUGGGACUGCCUUAAACCACAAGGUUAGUGGGUCUGCCUUAAACCACACGGUUAGUGGGACUGCGUUAAACCACACGGUUAGUGGGACUGCCUUAAACCACAAGGUUCGUGGGACUGCCUUAAACCACAAGGUUAGUGGGUAUAUCCUUAAACUACACUUUUCAAAUUGUUCACAGGUACAUCUCUAGAUCACGCUCUUUACAUUAAGCUCACUUGCAUUUUCAUUUUGCUAUUGUCAAAAAAAAAAAAUCAGGUGUCAUCUUAUCUUUGAAAGAAAUCUCUUUGAGCUCCCUUCCAAAGAGGGGCAGCUAUUGACACCUAAAUUUUUGCCCAAAAAUUAAUCAAAUCGGGCCAAAAAAAAACCAAAUUACAUUGAAUUGGGCAUUUUCGGGUAAGAAAAUGGCCAACUUUAAGGGACUCUCUUGCAAAUUGGGUGGAGACAAUUGCGAAAAAUUGUCAAGAUCAUAAACUACCAUACAUGAGCUUGCUAAUUGAUCAAAAACCGCAGCCAAAUUGAUGGAUUAAAGCACCCAAACGAGCUACCAAAUCCCAGUCCACGGUUAAGUCUUAAUUCGGAGCUGCUAAGUAGGCAUAUUGGUGGCCCCACCAUAUCCCACUCAGCCGCCCAAUUAGCUUGACAUCUGCACGUGAUGGAAGACCAUUAUUGGUAGUACAAGUGGACAAAAAUUGGUCAAGGAUAAGCUGCUGAAGGCACGGCAAAAUCGCAGCAAAGUCCGGGCACUCAACAGUUGCAGAAGUUGAAAAUUUUGGCUAAGUCAGAAAGUUGUUGAAGUAGCCCUGUUGACAGGCUUGGUAGGUGGACAAAAAACUGACCAAAAAUCCCUUAAUUCAGGGGAUAAGAUCACUGAAGCAAGGUCUUUGAGGGCAUGAAAGAGAGGAGACAAGAAAGAAAAGAGGGAGCUCACGGUCGUUCUCCAAAGAGACCCUCAAAAGCAAUUCCAGAAAAAGCAAAACCCAGAAAUUCCAGAUCAAUAUUCAGAGAGAAAAGUGAAAUUGUCACAAACUUUCAGCCAAAAUUAGCCAAAACCUUCAACUAGAGAGUGAAACUUCACUCAAAGAUCUUUCCAUCCAUAGGUUGCACGUCCCAAAUGGAGUUCGGGAAGGUCUCCUAAAGCCCCCGAAAACCACCCUCCUGGUGGGCCAAGAAAGUUCGAAAAUUUUUCUGUGUUGAGCCCGGUUGGUCACGAUUCUUUUUUCUGCAGAUCUCAUUUCCAGUUUGAUGGAGCCAACUUCCACGUGCCCCCCAAGGAUAAUUUCUUGGUUUCCUCGGCCAAGAACCACUUGCAAAAGAAACUAGGAAGCAAGGUAAGUAUCCUAGAUGUAUUUUUGUUUGAGUUUGAACGUGUUUUAAUAGUGAAAAAUCAAGAGGAAAACCAGCCCGGAAAACUGAUUUCUGAGGCUGAAAUUUUUCUAAGUAUUUGAAGCCUCUUCAAGAGCCAUACAUGUUUGAUUUGCUAUACCCCAUUUUCGUUCAUUACUUGUCUUUGUGACUUUGAUUAAUGUUAUAUGGGAGUACAAAUUAUGCAUAGGUCAGCUUGGUUUGGUCUUUAAAUCCCCGUGUGAACUAUGAGAUCGUCAAAAACCAAGUCUAUCCACAUUAGUUCAUGGCUGGUUAGUGUGGACUUUGCAUGUGGGCUUCUUGGAGAGGUUGUUUUGAUGUGUUCGGUUGGUCAUUCUCUAUGAUGUUUGUUGCAUUUGAAAGCUCAUGUUACCUACUUUCACUCGGAUCAAGUAAUGUUUCCCUUAGAUCUCGUAUGUGAUGGGUGUCGGGGCUUGAAUAUGAGCAUACAACCUGUUUGCUUGACUUGGGUUCAAACCCAGAUUUGCAAAAUCAACUCAAACCCGCAUUUUGAGACCGAUUUCAACUUAGUUCUUUUGUGUUUUAAGCUAUGAUUUCUGUCUAAUCUUUCUCCUUACAUGUGGUAAUAUAAUCUUGAUACUUUAGUUCCACAUGAGAUUGCUUAUGGGUUGAGAUUGAAGGCCGCAAACAUGGCCCGAUGAAGCUGGUUUGGGAUGACUUGAUGCACACCAAGUGUUCGAUGAAAUGCGCAAACCAAGUUUCGAUCUUGAAACGGUCAAUUUGAGCUCAGUUAUUGUGAUAUUCAUGUGCUGUGUUGUUCAAUGUUAGCAUAUAUCGGUUUAGGAAAUUAUUAUUUUUAUUUUUUUUUAAAAUGAAAAAAUCCAAAAAUUUUAAAAUAUAUAUAUAUAUAAGUGAUAGAUGGUAUCAAAUUAAGGCAAAAAUGACAUCUAUGAAAUUUUCCUAAUUUUAAAAGGUCAUUUUCCUAAUUUAAUGCUAUUUUGGUAUUUUAUAAUCAUUUUUGUAAAUAAUCCAUUUUGCAUAGAUUAAAAUUAUCUAGAGUAAUUUCAUGCAUAUUUAAAUUCCCAUUUCGCUCACGGGGGUCCUGUCCCGGGGCAUGAUAACAAGGCCAUGUAAUAUUAUUUGCCCGACUUGUAUCGGGUCUUUCUUUUCAGCAUUACUUUCAAGUCAUUUCAAUUUCUUAGAUGUUAUUUACCGCACCGCUUUUCAAUAAUUUGAGUGUGAAUUUAUUUUCUAAAUUAUGUUAGGAUUAGUCUAGAGAUUUUAAAAAAAAAACUACAAAAACAUUUGCAUUGACACUUAGUGGUUUCAUAAAGAUUAUAAUCGGUAAUCAAGAUUGCGUGGCCAUUUAGAUAAAUAACCUUUCAAGUUAGUGGUACCGCAAGGGCGCUAAUAGAAACAUUAGCGUAAACAAGUCCCCGUUCCUAGAAAUCUCUGGUUGCGUAAGAAUUGAGACAACACUCCCGUGUCUUGAUUGGUUUCUAGUCGACCCCAAUAGGCUAGUGGCGACUCCUAAAAUUACAUAUGUUGUUAAGAACUAAAAAACAAAAUCCAAUGUCGCGCGAGAUAUGGGCUUGGGAGAGCCCGCGCCUAAUCUAGGGCCGUUGGUCUUCCUCUUUAGGCAAAUACCCCCUAAACCUUCUUCCUUUUCCCCCAAACGGAAAAAGAGAGGUCGUGACAGCGUGACAUCCCCGCCAUUUAGUGGUAUAAGAGCUGGUCGAUAGUUGGAGUGAUAAGGUGCGAUGGGUUCAUGGUAUAGAUAGUAGGAAAGACCUUUAUUUCAUGCGAAUGCAUGUCAGUGAUAGCUGUUUGGUAGAUUGUUUGGUGUGAUCGCUCAGCUUCUAUUUCUGUGUGGAAUUGGAAAGCAAGUUUCUGUAUAGAAUCUGUGUCAUAAGUGAUCAGAAGGAGAGGACUCCUACGAAGAGGGCAGUAGCCCCUGUGACUCAGGGUAGGAUGCCGACCAAGGUCGAUACCCGAGAUGGCCGAGGUAGAGCGCAGGCUAAGGUCAGCGCUAGUGGAGUAGCACCGCCUCCUAUUGGUGCUAGGGUAACAGCCCCUGGCGAUCCCAGGAUCGAAGGGAUCAUGCGGGCGCUUGAGAUGCUUGGAAAUAUGAUAGGGUAGUAGGCCCAGAAUCAAGCUACUGCCACUACCGCCGCUGCUACAGCCGCUGCUACUGCUACAGUUGCUACCGCUGAGUGAGACCACAACCGCUGCCGUACCUACUGAAAUUCCACUUGGGAACGUGGUUGUUGAGAGAGAGAGAGACCGAUUCAUAAGCUCGUGGAGCAGUUCUUGAAGCUGAACCCGCCGAGGUUCACUGGUGUAGGAGAUCCCGAGACUGCAUCGCUCUAGAUCUAAGACCUGGAGAAAGCCUUUGCACUUCUGAUGUGCACUGAGGAGGAAAAGGUUGUCCUAGCAAUAUAUCAGUUGUAGGGUAACGCAAAUACUUGGUGGAGAGCCACCAGAGGUACAGUAUUCCUAGAAGGCGAGGUUCCAGUGUGGAAUGCCUUCCUCAGAGCCUUUAACGACAAGUAUUAUUCUGGUAGUGCCCGAGAGCGAAAGAUGGAGGAAUUCCAACACCUCCGUCAAGGAAUGAUGACCGUGGACCAGUAUGAGACUAAGUUUGCUGAGCUGUCUCAAUAUGCUCCAAGACUGGUGGAAAUCCCGAAGACAAAGCUCAGAGGUUCAGAAACGGCCUCCGACCAGAGCUGAGGAGUCCAUUAGUGCCAUUCAACCUGAAGGAUUACAAUGAGGUUUAUGGUCGGGCCUAGCUGAUAAAGAGGGACCAGAGUGAACAGACUGCUGCGUCUGGUUCGAGGUUCAGUUCGAACAGAGAUGGAAACCGGUUCAAGAAGAAGCCCAUGAUCGGAGGAAGGUAUCAUGCCCACCUAAUAGGAAGGGUGGAGUUGGCAAGUCAGCGCCGAGUCAGAAUGGCGCGUGUCGCUUGUGUGGAAGGCGACAUGGAUCAAUCCCGUGCCAUUUUAGGAUGGGUGCUUGCUUCGAGUGUAGCCAACAGGGUCACCUAGCCAGAGACUGUCCCAGAAAGCAGAGGGGACCACAGUAGUUACCGCCGCCGCCACCGUUGGGUCAUAAUAGGGGGUUUGCGCCGUAGUUCGCACCACAGGGUGAAUUGAACAGACCUCCAGCUCAGGGAAGGAAGUACGCUAUCACGAGAGGGCAGGCGGAGGACUCGCCUAAUGUGAUUGCAGGUACGGUUUCGCUGAACGACCACGCUGCAUAUGCUUUAUUUGACCCUAGUGCGACUCAUUCGUUUAUAGCUGAGCAAUUUGUUAAGCUAAUAGGAUUGAGUCCCGAGUUGUUGGAGUCAGUGGUUAGCAUAUCUACACCGUUGAAGGAUAAGGUGUUAGCUGCAUUGGGUUGUUCUGGUUGCAAGUUAGGGAUUGGUGAGCGAGAGGGGAAAAUAGAUUUGAUAGUCCUAGUCAUGUAUGUUUUCGAUGUGAUAAUUGGCAUGGACUGGCUCACCAAGCAACGAGCUAAAAUGGACUGCUACCGUAAAGCGAUUCAGUUUAACCCGUGAUCGGGUGAAUAUUUCAAGUUUAUUGGGAGUCGAGGAGGACCCUCAAUUUCCUUAAUCUCGUCGCUUAAGGCAACCCGUUUGUUAGACGGGGGUUGUCAGGGUUACCUGGCAACUGUCGUGGAUACGACAGUUGAGGAACUAAAGAUCGAGGACAUCUCAGUAGUUCAAGAAUUUCUAGACGUGUUUCCUAAAGAAUUGCCAGGCCUGCCGCCAGAAAGAGAGAUAGAGUUCGUGAUUGAAUUAGCACCCGGGACAGAGCCAAUUUCUAAGGCUCCUUACCAGAUGGCGUUGUCUGAGUUGAAAGAACUAAAGGUACAGAUGUAGGAAUUGUUGGAUAAGGGAUUCAUACGUCCUAGUGCAUCACCUUGGGGAGCACCAAUUAUGUUCGUAAAGAAGAAAGAUGGUUCGUUGCGCCUGUGCAUCAACUAUUAUCAACUCAAUCAGGUGACGAUCAAGAAUAAGUAUCCACUACCGAGGAUCGACGACUUGUUUGACUAGUUGCAAGGAGCGUCGAUAUUUUCAAAGAUCGACUUGAGGACAGGGUAUCAUCAACUAAGGAUCAAAAAGGAGGACAUACCGAAGUCAGCGUUUCGUACUCGAUACAACCAUUAUGAGUUCACUGUAAUGCUGUUUGGUUUGACGAACGCCCCAGCUACUUUUAUGGAUCUGAUGAACCGAGUGUUUAAAGAAUAUCUAGAUUAGUUUGUGAUCGUGUUCAUCGACGAUAUUCUGGUGUAUUCGAGGAGUUCUGAGGAGCACGAGAGGCAUUUGAGGAUGGUACUUCAGACCCUGAGGAAUCAUGAGCUGUACGCCAAGUUUAGUAAGUGCGAGUUUUGGUCGACUCGUGUAGCGUUCCUAAGUCACAUGAUUUCAGGCGAAGGAAUCUCCGUGGACCCGACCAAGAUCGAAGCAAUUAUCAACUAGCCAAGACCAACGACCGUGACAGAGAUCAGAAGUUUCCUGGGUUUAGCAGGGCAUUACAGAAGGUUUGUGGAAGGAUUUUCAACGUUAACGUCGCCAUUGACUCAACUACUAAAGAAAGAAGAGAAGUUCGUAUGGACAGACAAGUGCGAGUGUAGUUUCCAAGAGCUUAAGCAGAAGCUUACUACCGCACCUGUGCUGACCAUACCAUCUGGUCCUGGAGGAUACAAGAUCUAUAGUGAUGCGCCAUUUAAAGGAUUAGGUUGCGUGCUAAUGCAACAUGGUAGGGUUGUUGCAUACGCGUCCCGUCAGUUGAGACCUCAUGAGUUGAAUUAUCCGACGCAUGAUUCGAAGCGAUUAUUUUUGUUCUGAAGAUUUGGAGACAUUAUCUAUGUGGAGAAAAAUUCUAGAUCUUCACUGACCAUCAAAGUCUCAAGUAUCUAUUCUCUCAUAAUGAGUUGAAUAUGAGACAGCGUCACUGGAUGGAACUCCUGAAGGACUAUGAUUGUGAUAUCUUGUAUCACCUUGGAAAGGCUAACAAGGUCGCAGAUGCACUGAGUCGGAAGUCUUCAGUUGCACAGAUGAUGGUUAAGGAAUGGAUUUUACUCGAGAGAGCUCGAGAUUCGGUUUUCAAAUUUGAGGUAAGCCACCUUUCGAAUCUUAUGGCCACCCUCAGAAUUGAGCCGGAAGUAUAGAUCAGAAUCAAGACGCUUCAGUGGACAGACCCAGAGAUUCAGAAGAUCCUACAAGAGAAUACCGAAAAGCAGAAGGCUGAUUUUCAGAUUUCUGAAGACAGAACACUGAGGUUUCGUGGACGAUUGUGUGUACCUGACAAUGCAGAGCUUAAAGAGGAGAUCUUGUUAGAAGCUCAUCGUAGCAGUUACAGCAUUCAUCCUGGUAAUACGAAAAUGUAUCAGAAUCUGCGUCAACACUAUUAGUGGUCUGGUAUGAAGGCAAAUAUCACCAAGCAUAUCGCUAAGUGUUUGACGUGUCAGCAAGUGAAGGCAUAGCAUUGUAAGCCGGGAGGACUUCUGCAACCUCUCGAGAUUCCCGAGUGGAAGUGAGAACACAUCACAAUGGACUUUGUGACAGGCUUACCAAGGAGUCAGAGGGGUAAUGAUUCCAUUUGGGCAAUGGUCGAUAGACUGACGAAGUCGGCUCACUUCAUCGCUGUAUGGAAAGACCUUGAUUUAGACAGGCAUGCAGAAUUGUACGUGCGUCAAAUAGUUUGUCUGCAUGGAGUGCCGGUGACGAUUACAUCAGACCGAGACCCGAGGUUCACAGCUGCCUUUUGGAAAAGUUUGCAGACCGCCUUAGGAACGAAACUACAGUACAAUACGACCUAUCAUCCUCAAACGGAUGGACAGUCUGAGAGGACGAUUCAAACCCUCGAAGACAUGCUACGAGCUUGUGUGUUGGACUUCAAGGGAAGCUGGGAGGAAUAGCUUCAUCUUGUCGAUUUUGCCUACAACAACAACUACCAGCAGAGCAUUCGGAUGGCUCCUUUCGAAGCGUUGUAUGGCAGACUGUGCUGAACACCAGUUUUUUGGGAUGAGGUCGAAGAACGAAAGAUCACAGGCACAGAGUUGGUUCAGCAGUCAGUGGAUGCAGUUGCAGUCAUCAGAGACAGAUUAAAGACCGCUCAGAGCCGCCAGAAAAGCUAUGCUGAUAAGCGUCGGAGACCAUUGGAAAUCUAAGUUGGUGAGCACGUCUUUCUGAAGGUGUCACCAAUGAGGGGUGCUUCGCGCUUCGGCAAGAAGGGAAAGCUGAGUCCGAGAUACGUAAGUCCCUUUGAGAUUCUGGAAAGGAUAGGGACUCUAGCGUAUCGUCUUGCAUUGCCCCCGAGGUUGGCGUAAGUGCAUGAUGUCUUUCACGUGUCGAUGUUGAGGAAGUAUGAGCCUGACCGGACCCACAUGCUAAAUUUUGAGGAAUUAGACGUGGACGACAGAGUGUCGUACGUGGAAAGACCAGUUCAGAUUGUAGAUCGGAAGGAACAGGUUCUGCGCACCAAGACGAUCCAGUUGGUUAAAGUGGUCUGCAACACCACGGCACAAAAGGAGCAACUUGGGAAAGUGAAGAUUCGAUGAGAUGAAUGUACCCCCACCUUUUUGCUUAAAGAUUUGUAAUGGUUUAAAUUUCGAGGAUGAAAUUUUUAUAAGAGGGGAAGAGUUGUGACAUCCUGAAUUUCCAGUUCUGUUUUCAAUUUAAUGAAUCGGGCUUUUAAUCAACGCGCCUAUAGUUCUUUUCCCUGAACUGAUCACUCACGGGAUAACUAAUCUAUCAGGUGAAGCCGUUAAGGAAUUUUAACGCAAUAGACUUGAGAAUUCGAUCAGGAAUCGACUGCUUGACCGUGCUAAUCUGUAAGGGUCAUUACGGCACUGUCAAAAUCGAUCAAAGAUUAGAGAUAGGUCUAUUCGACUGAAAUAUGUGAUCAGUGUGUGGGUGAUCCCACCUUAUUGCAAAAUUCUCGUCGAACGGCACUGGACUAAUUGUUUUGUCAUUUUUGUACCCUGUGUCCGUAUUUGAAAUCUCAAGAUUUUCACGACAAUCGAGAGUUACCAAUAUGUUGAAGAUGUACAAUGUGGCUCAAAAAUAAUCAACCACUGGUCAAUUGCACUAAAAAUUCCUAAAAGCUACUCGGUAGGCUAGGUCACGCUAAAAUCACGCCAGAUUGCAAUUAACCGCGAAUUUAAACCCGAUUUCAGAAAUUGAAAGUUUUGUCAUGUCACGAUUCAUUUUAGGACUGUCGACUCACCCUCCGAAGAUUUUUUUGAAAACCAAGAUUUUUGGAGAAAAUUCAAAGUAGGGCUGUUUUUGACCGGGAAAAUUAAGGGCCGUUUUUUAUCGCGUUUUUGGGAUUCAAGUUGGUUCAAUUAAUGAGCAAAAAUGUUGAAUUUGACGAGGACGCCUUGGCUGAAUUUUUGGGGCUUCAAUUGGAUCAAAUUGGAUGAGAAUUUAAUGAAAUUGAUGAGGCAAAUGUCCAAAUUCAUAGCCAAGGGGCAACCUUUUGGACCUCUUCAAUGGCUUGUUGGGGAAGCUUGGGUGCUGCAAAUGGCUAAGGUUGAAGGCUGAAGUGGUGGAGGCAUGUGUGAUGAGUGAUUUGGACAAGUGUUGAAGACUUGGAGGCCAUUUGGGGUCCCCCUCUCUUGAGCAACCCCUUCUUCCUCCUUGAGAAUUGCUUUCCCCAUUGUUGAGUGCCUUUUGAAGCUUAGAAAACCAUAAGAAACCGGCAGCCCCUCCCCCUAGCCCGUCGCACGCCCGCCGGAGCCGCUAGGACCGCCGCUCAUUGUCGCACCCCCGCGCGAGCCCGUCGCGCGCCGUCCGCUGUCCCGCGCCUCCUGUUAUGCCCAACCGUGCCACCGAGCCUCCCUAGUCACCGUAGGGCUCAGCCGGAGCCCUGUCGACGCCGUCCAGCAACCGCCGUCGCCCCUGCUCGCCCGUUGUAGCCCCAUCCACCCGUCCCUUGCCGUUUCCAACCCCGUUCCAGCUUGCUCGGUCCUUGGACAGAACCGAGAAGCCCAACCGUGAGCCUUCGUGGGCCAUUUUAGGCCUCUUCCGAGCCUCGCUUGGUGUCGCCGCAGGCUUGUUUGUCACCCAUCUCCGCGUCACCAUCGCCGUGGACUCACCGGAUCGUUAGACCAGUGAGUUUACUUGCUAAACUCUGCUUAAGGAGUUAAUGCUACUUAAGGGGUGAUUAGUUUAGGCUAAGUAUAGUUUAGGUGAUUAGUUAGAUUAUAUUAGUGAUUUAAUUAUUCAUUUGUGCAUGUUAGGUGGUUAGAACAGACUCAUUAGGGACUAGAUAGAUCGUGUUAUUUAUCUAGAUUGGUUCGGAAAUUUUCCGGGCCCGUUUCGGUGUUUAAUUAAGCAUUUCUAGCCUAAGUUUAUAUUUUUGGUAAUUAAUUGCAUUUAUUUAAUAUUUUUUGUAUUUAUUUAAUUAUUUAAUAUUUUUCGAAAAUUAUAUCAGGAUAACUGGUGACCGAAAUUUCGUGCUGAUUGCAAUGGUGUGGUUAGUUUAUACAAUUGAUUAUUAAAUUGUGCAAUUGAGUGAUGAUUGUGAAAUUUGGUAUUUAAUUAGAAAAUACCGGGUGUCGGGGUUUGACACUGAAAAUGGUUUUAUGUACCAUCUCAGCUUGUGUGAGCAAUAGUGUAAAUCAGCUUGUGUGAGCAAUGAUCUAAAUCAGCUUGUGUGAGCAAUGAAUCGCCAGCUUGUGUGAGCAUUAUUUUAUAUCAACUUGUGCGAGCAGCAAUUGAAUUGGAACUUGCGAUCGAUGGAAUUGAAUUGAAUUGAUCGAUUGGGUAUAUGAAUUGUACUGACUUGCAGGAAGGAACUGAGGCAAGGUGAGUCCUCUUUCUUGUGUGCAUAGACUGCCUCUAGGCGUAUUUCCUUCCUAGUCGGAGUUUAGGAGGUGAACUUGCUAAGACAUUGUCUCACCCCGUCGUGGGCUCAAUAUUUUCAGGUCCUUAGAUGGCAAUUCCUCCGGAACGUUUUGGCCGGCCCAUGAGAGUUACCGAGCGGGUUUUUAACUACCCCGAUCCCGAAAGUCAUUGGGUAUAUGAACUGGUUGCGACCACCGUCUGGGUCGAAGAGGGCCUACCUCAUAGGGCGCCUCAUCGAUUCAGAGCGUGGUUUCGCUACGGACCCAAUGGAUUCAGGGUGGGUCCCCUCUAGAGUUUUGAAAUCCCCGCUGUGGUAGUCGAUGCCACUCUAGGUGAGAGUGCAGCUGACCCUCCUGAUGGUGUGGUGUAGGACCCGACGCCCCCGGAGCCAGUGGAGACCGAAGGAUUGACGAAUGUGUUCGGCUAGUUGGUCUUAGGACGGCUUCUUUUUUUUAGAGCCGGUCUUUUGUGGACUUUUGUCUAUAGACUAGUAUUGUAAAUAAACUAAUCGGCUGUAUAUAAAGGUUUGUUUUGGUUGUGAAAUUGUGGUCCUACUUUUCUAUCCCAUCUUGUGUUGUCAGGGGUAUUAGUUCGCUUCCACAUGCGCAUUAAAAUGAAUGCGUCGGCGACACGUCCUGGGACGUCGCAUUUUUAUCACCACUGAGGGAUGGGCACACUCUCGAGGAUCAGAGCGCGACACCUUGAGCCGUUGCCUAUCCCGAAACAUCUAUGGGAUAGUGUUUCCAUGGACUUCAUCGUGAACUUGCCAAAGUCCGAAGGGUGUCGAACCCUCAUGGUCGUGGUGGAUCGAUUCACCAAGUACGCGACGUUCGUGCCAGCCACAAAGGAUUGCCUAGCCGAGAAAGCGGCCAAGCUGUUCCUCAAGCACGUCGUCAAGUAUUGGGGCGUCCCACGCACGAUCGUGAGCGAUCGCGAUCCUUGAUUCACCGGGCGGUUUUGGACCAAGCUCUUCAAGUUGCUGGGAACGAACCUCACCUUCUCCACGAGCAUGCAUCCCCAAACCGACAGACAGACGAAACAGGUGAAUGCACUGCUGGAAAUCUAUCUCCGGCACUAUGUGAGCAAUAUGCAAGUAAAUUGGGCGCGAUUGAUCGACGUGGCCCAGUUCUCAUACAACUUGCAGCGGAGCGAGUCCACGAACCAGAGCCCAUUCGAGAUCGUGACCGGGCAACAGCCGCUCACACCGAGCGCUAUCGCUUCGAGAUAUCGAGGAAGCAGCCCCUCCGUGUACAAGUUCGCUAAGGAAUGGGAUGAACAUGCAGACUUGGCGCGAGCGUGCCUGAAUAGAGCCGCGAAGCGCACAAAGAAGUGGGCUGACAAGAAGCGACGGCAUGUGGAGUUUCAAGUCAGAGACUUGGUGUUGGCCAAAUUACACCUCGUCCUUCGAUACCGUGAUGUGCACAAAGGGCUGAUCCGUCACUACGAGGUUCCCUUCCAAGUGUUGCAGUGGAUCGAGAAGGUGGCGUACAAGCUAGACUUACCAUCCAAGCUUAAGGUACAUCCCGUGUUCCAUGUGAGCAUGUUAAAGCCUUUCCAUGCGAACGAGGACGAUCCAGAUCAAGGCAAUUCACAAAGAGCGCCCCUUGGAGUAAAGACCUCCUAUGAUCAGGAUGUUGAAUGCAUCAUGGCCGACCGGAUGAUAGAUAUUGUGCGCCAAGGAAGGAAUACCUCAUCCGAUAGAAGGGCCUUCCCGAGAGUGAAGCAAGUUGGGAACCCUCCGAGGGCCUGUGGCAAUUCAAGAAGCACAUCAAAGCCUUCCAUGCCACAGACGCAACGAGGGCGUCGCCCGAUUAGGUGGGGGAGAAUGACACGGCCCACGAACGAAGCAUGUCCAAGACCGUCCGUGAUUCGGCCGUGUCACGCACAAGGGCUUGCCACAGACAAGCCCUUAUCGGUUCCAGUCUCGACCGAUCCCUGAACGAUCCCGCAUCCAUCCUUGAUCGAUCCCUAAUCGAUCACCGAUUAGUCCCUGCACAAUCCAUGAACCGUGCCUGAUCCGUCCAUGCGCGAUAAGGGGGAUGACCCGUGCACGACCAGCGGCCGACUCCUGAUCAAUGCUCAGCCAGCCCUUGCACAAACCUGGAGUUGUUCACCUGCUCCGUGUCAGGCGGCUAGGCUCGCCCAUGCUAACCCUGAUCUUGCUUCUGACUUGUGCCUACGCCUGUGGCUGUUUCCCAAUGCCUGCAGCCAUUGAGUGGUCUGUUGUGUAGCCUUGUAAUGAUGAUACGGAUUCAAACUCCACCAUUGGAUCGGAGGGACGAUCAACGACCGGCAUUAGACCUGAACUUGUAUAAAUAGGGGUCCCUCCCCCUCAUUUGAGCUCAGCUCAUUCAUAGUGAAUAUAUUCGCCCUUUGCACAGCCAACCCUUGUGCUUGUGUGCGUGACCUGAAAUGCUGACUUGGGAUCACGAAUCCUAAGGCCGCACGGUGUUUGAUCGAUCGUGUUCAACCGACCCAUGACACAUGCAUGCAGGUUUUUAUAGUGAAGUUGAUAGUGAUGGGCUUUCGAAAGUUUUGCUCCUUUCUUCUCUUGUCCCGCUUCUUAACAAUGGGAUCAACGAGGGUCCAACUUCUUGGGUGGCUUUGUCUUGGAUUCUCCAUCAUCGUUUUCGCAGCUCCUUUAAGUGUUAUGGUGAAUAGUUGGAGUAACUCUUGAUUUCUUACAUUUUACUUUUCCCUAGUUAUACUUUCCUUCACGCACUACUGAGUUAUGUGAGACAAGUUUUGCAUAACGUUUAUUUUCAACGAAUAUUGCGCAGAGAAUGGUGAUACGCACCAAAAGUGUAGAGUUCAUGCCCUUCUCUCUCUCAUUUUUCCCCACGCUCAGCGCUGUAACUUGGUUCCUAUACAGUGCAUUCCUCAAGGACAUCCACGUCGCAGUACACAUCGAUUUUCAGCAAAUACUAGAAAUUUCACUAAAAAGAGUUUGCUAUUACCCAAAGAGAAAAGUUUAUCGUGGAGACUAUGGUUUAGAUAUCGUUUUAUUUUCUGAUAUACAUUCAUUAAUGUAAGUAUGAUCAUUUACAUAGGUUCCAAAAGUAUUGGGGUUUAUCCUUGGAGUGCUUCAGACGGGACUGUAUUUGAUAUAUAGGAAGAGGAGUGUGAUGGUUCUGGAGGAACCCAAUAAUUUCAGUGGUGCAAAGCUGAUUGCGCAUACUCAAAGUAGAAAUAUCGCCUGUAACGACAGCAUCAUCGAUGUUCAUGAGUUCAAGGAGAGGAAAGACGAUGUGUACGAGGGUAAGAUAAGCUUGAAAGAUACCGACAAUGGACUAGUGGCGAAUAGUUCAUGUGAAUUUUGACACGGGUUAAGUCGCUGCAUAUGCCUCUACUGUUGUCUUUCGAGUAGCUAGUUAAGCUAAUUUAGUUCUUUCUUGGCAAAAGAACAGCGUAAAUGCCAAAACUUAGCACAAGGACACUUAAGUGCCAAAAAUUACGAAAUGUACAAUUAAGUGCCAUUUUUUUUUUUUUUUAAGAAUUGGAAUACCUAAGUGCCAAGUCUAGCGAACCCUAUUGGAAAUCCUACAUUUCAAUUUUUGAUUAAUAUUGCUCGCAUACGUGGCUCGCCGGAGAGCUAACUUGGCUCUGACUCACCCAAAACGAUGUCAUUUCUAUAGUUGGCCAAGAUAAAAGCCCUAAAUCAGCCAAAAUGAUAUCAUCUCCCCAAUUGCCCCAAACCUAGAACCCUAAAUUGGCUAAAAUCCCAAUUAAAGCGCUCAAACCCUAAUCCCGAAUCCUAAUUUCGAUUUACCCCAAAUUCCACUGCCGAAUAUUAUAAAUGGAGAGUAGAACUUUCAGCAUUUACUUAAAUUCCUCUCACCGAAGUGAAGGAAAAGGCGAGUGUUUCUGUUUUUGUGGAUCACCGAGUCCAAGAAGAACAUCGUGGACUCAAAUGAAUCCCAUGAGAAAAUUCUAUGGAUGUGCCAUAUAUAAAGAAGUGUUGAAAUGAAAUACUUCGAAUUGGUCGAUGCGAAAUUCUCUCACCUAGCCACAAAGGUGAUAUUAGACCUACUUGAUGGAUGACAUCAACCUCCAUCUACAUUCGUGGACGAUUUGGAUGAUGUUAACUCAAUACAAGCUGAAAUAUCUUCGCUAACCAUUUAAAGAAUGAAAUUUCAAAGAUAAAAAUUGAAUAGAAGUGUUACCAAACGUUUAUUGUUUUGUUGUUUUGCUGUCUAUCCUACUUUAUAAUGAAAUGUCAAGCAUUUGAAGAUGGGAAGAAAUUUCUCUAAUUGCCAUAGUUGAAAGUGAGUGGACAAAUGUAAUUAUUUUGGAUCAAAUGUAGGCCUUUUUUUUUAAGAUGAAAAAAAGUUUGUGUUGUUCACAAGAUUGUUGCGGCUUUAUUGUUAUUUGUGAUGUUAUGUAUAUUGGCUUACUUCUUUUGCUUGUGAAGAGAUCAAGGAAAGGAAAUGAGUGAAUAAGAUGCUACUUGUACUAUAUUUUUGCUUGUUCUUAAAUAGAAACCAACAAGAAUAUGUAUUGGGUCACUAUGUUGUGGCGGCUUCUUUACUUGAACUAAAUAUAAACUAGCAAACAAACAUUAAAUUGAAUGAGUUAUUUCUCUGGUUUGCUAUAAACUAACAUAUAUAUAGAACAGACACAAGUAAUUAUUCAAGUACCAUAAGUUGUAUUUCAUGAUCACUUAAGUAUCAUUUGUGAUGAAAAAAUGAUCACUUAAAUGUCAAGUUAUUAUUAAAAGUAAUCACAUAAGUGCCACCCAUGGUUAAAAGUGAAUACUUAAGUAUUAAGUUUUUUAAAAUGUGAUAAGUUAAGUUCCAAUUUUUUGUAAAUUUCUCCUAAAAAUUGCACUAGCCAUCAAUCACCACCCACCACCCACCACCACUAGCCACAUCAUGUACCCCAACCAUCACCUCAAGCCACCACCAGCCACCACUAUGUUGGUGGUGUGCUGCUGUAGGAGGUGCCGGUGCAAAUAAGGUGCUAGUGCAAGCUGAGCCUUACACCAGCACCAUCUGAUGCAAAAUGUGUACAAUCCACACUUGCGCCAGAUACUGCAUAAGCUCCCAAUCGCCAUCAACCACCACCAGGUACCAUUAGGCACCACCGACCACUAGCUAUCAGACACCACCACUAGCCACACCAGACACCACAGCUAUCACCAUAAACCCACUUGCUACUAUAGAAGGUGAUGGUGCAAGCUGAGCCUGCACUAGCUUCCACUAGCACCACCUGAUGCGAGAUGUGCACACUACAUACUUACACAAAAUGCUGCAAGAGCCUCCAACUACCACCAGUCACCACCAGGCAUCACCAACCGCCACCAUCAGCCAUAUUAGGCACCUCAGCCACCAUCAGCCACUACCACCAACCACACUAGGCACCUCAACCACCGCCAUAGACUUAUCUGUUGCUGCAAAAGAUGCUGGUGCAAGCUGAACCUUACACCAACUUGUACCAACACCACCUGGUGCAAGAUGUGCAUUAGAUGCUGCAAGAGCCCCCAAUCGCCACCAGUCACCACUAUCAGCCACCACCACUAGUCACACCAAGCACCCCAACCACCAUCACAAACCCACUUGUUACUGUAGAAGGUACUGGUAAAAGAUGUGCACACUGCACACUUAUACCAGGUGCUGCAGGAGCCCCUAACCGCCACCAUGGUGACCACCAGCCACUACCUAAGUAGCACCGACACGUAACACGACAUAACAUGCCAACAUGUCAUUUCUCAAAAAUAAAAAAUUACGACAUGUUGGGUCACGUUACAUAUUAAAUGAAUAUUUUUAUUUUAAAUUAAUUUGAUUCAUAUUCAUGAAUAAAUAAAUAAAUAAAUAAAUAAAUAUAGCUUACAAUGAAUUCACUCUAAUAAUAUUAAUAAAUAUAUUCAUAGGAAAUUCGAAAGAUAUUACGUAUCCAUGUUUGGGGAAAUGUUUCUAGCUUUAACAAAAGUUAUCAAUGAAACUAACCACUAACAAGAGAUUAAAUAAAUUCAUGAUCUUCUACAAUAACCAAAAUUUAUUAUUAUUUAACAUUCAGUGCCUUUAUUUUCCAUAAUCAAUUUUUAGCCCCACUUACUUGUUUUUCAAACCCAAAAAAAAAACGCCCUACCACCCUCUACCCCCCCUCCCCCCAAAAAUUAUUUCCCUCCCCCAUUUCUUUUCCCCCUCAUUUCUUCCCCCGUCCCCCCACCUGUCACUUCCUUUCUUGAAAAUUGAAGUCAUCUUCCACCCUUCCUUCCCUCCAAAAAGAAAAAAAUCAUGCUAGUCCCAUCAAAAUUCCCAUUUUUAAUUUUUUUUAUCUACUCUUAUUGCUAAAACUAAAAGAGGAGAAAACUCAAAAAUCCUAAGCAUGGCCUCCCCCUCCUCCUCCUAUUCACACAAUCCUCUUGCUCUCGAUCUCUGCUCUCUUUCAGUCACCUCAUUGCAAUCGCUCGCCCCUCGUCACCAGCCCUUCCUCCUUUGCAGCUGCAGUCUCGCUUCCGGCCCUCCAUCGCGGCAUCGCAAUUGCAGCCCUCUAGGUCGCCUCGGUCUCUACUCUUCCUCUGGCCCUCCUUGCAAUCGCGGCCUCACCGUCACUCACGGCCUCACCUCCACUCUUUUGCCCUCGCCUCCACCCUCCAUCGCCUUCUUCAACGAUUCUCUCUCCCUUCACACUUGCAGACCCGCCCUAGAAACCACCAUGCCUCUCGCAAUUCCGGACACGCGUGUCGGUGCGUGUCGGAAAGAGUUGACCAUGCCUCUCGCAAUUCUGAAAAUCGUAAUUUCCAACCUAAAUUGCCCAGGUAGAUUGAAUUGGUAUCAAUGUGAAAAUAUUUAGAAUUAAAUCGGUAUCAAUGUAAUAAAUUUAGAACUUUUUUAGUAUUUUUCCCUUUAAAGGCAUGGACAGCAAGGUAUGCUAUCGUACUCAAUAAUUGAAAAAUACAAAAGUCACUUACUUUACGACGAGGUUGUGUGUGAUUAGCUUACUCUUAUGAGAGUAUUUUACAUGCACUUUGCCAAGUUGUGGCUCUCAUAUACCAAAACAUAUGUUGAUUGGUGACUCAUGUUGUCCAUGAUUACUUCCUUUCACAUUGAUUAAAUAUAUCGUCAAAGGUGUGUCGAAUUGAUAUUAUGGCUAAGCUUUAUGAGAAUGUGAUCUCUGGAACUGAUAUACUAGAUGACAUAGCGAAUUGUAAGUAUGAUGGAUAAAUAUAAUAUCACAUCACUUAAUAUAUCAAUUAAGUCAAUCAAUUAGUAUACUUAACACAUAAGAAAUCGUUUUAUCCAAAUUCCAUUUAGGUAAUGUUAACUUAAGUUCAACGGCAGUGGUCACGUGAUCAAAAGUGACUUUGGGUCCUAGAAAGUGUCGAACCUAGAAUUAUACCUUAUGCGUUAAGUUUUGAACAUAGAAUUAUGCUACCUUAUGUAUUAAGUAAACUUAACACAUAAGGUGCUGGCGUCACGUACGGGCGGACAAUCACCUACUCCGUUGUGCCACCUGCAAUUGUUAGGCGAGAUCAUUAUCUCCAUUUGCAAUAUUAAAAGAUAUUAUGGCCAUCCACGUAGUCGAUACUUCAAAUGAUGUGAUAGAUUCAUAUCCAUUACACUACUUAAUCAACAUGAAAAUUAUCUAAAGAGUCAUAAAUUUAUUGUACGGCAAUGAAUUCAUUCAUAAACUUGUCAAUUUUAACUAAUGUUAGUCCUAAACCUUUUGACAUUUUUGCUAGUUUAAAUUAGAAAUCGCUGACACAACGAUUCUAUUAAUGCCCAGCCGAUAGCUGACGUGGACAAUCUUAUGUGAAACGACGUCAUUUUGCAUUGAACCAAGAAUAUCUGAAUUUUCUUUCUUUCUUUUCCUUUCAAUAUUUUUUGCUUUUUAUUUUUCCUAUUCCAUUGUUCAUCUUUAUCCUCUACUGGUCACAAGUGAGGGUCAUAGCCUUUGCCAAAUCUAGGCAAAGCCGCCGGCCACAAGCUAAGGUAAUCCUUGCUAGAUUUGGCGAGGCCAUGAUGCCCUUGCAAAGGGUGGCCAAUGCCAAGGUUGCCCUCGCAUCUGGCCAACGACUUUCACAAACACAUCGCCAAGGCUCUGAUGACCGACAAGCAAAAAAGAUGAAUAGUGCAUUAAAAAAAAGAAUCAUAGAAUUCAUAAAAAGAAAAAUUGUAAAAUGACAUCAUGUCAUUUAAGAUCAUCCACAUCAAUAGCCAGCUGUUCUCCAUAAGACAUUUGGUGCUGACUAGACUAUCACAUUAACAAUUUCCAAUUUAAAUUAACCUAAUAAAUUAUAUUUAAAAAUUGUCAAGGUUUAGGACUAUAUUCAGAAAAUUGAAAAAUUUAGGACUUGAUCGGCCGCCAUACAAUAUGUUUAAGAUAUUUAGGACUACUCUCUCUUCAGUCAGCCGCCAUCAUAAAUCAUUCUAUAUUCUAGCAUAACUUUUGCCUUCCAUCUCCUCUAUAAAUUGCAAGGCCAGCGUGAGCACAAUUUCCACAACAUAGCCUUAUUUGUUUCAGCUUCGAAAUCUUCCAUUUGAAUAUCUUCAGUUUCUGAGAGGAAGAGAGUGGGAAAAUGGCCAUCUUCACGACUAACAAUCCCUGGGCGCUCACCUUUGGAGUUCUAGGUACUUUCCACACGGUAUCCAACUGUUUUCUAGUUACUGUCGAGCAACAACCAAUGACUUUGUUUUGACGCGUUUGUCAACCUUUGUAUGAUCCUUGUUGUAGGUAAUAUCACAUCCAUCGUGGUCUUUCUAGCCCAAGUGUAACUUUUUAACUCUUUCUCACUCCAUGCACACUGACAAAUAUAAGGUUUAGGACUUAUUUAAUCUUCUUUGGCAGGGCAACGUUCUGUAGGACAUGCAGGAGGAAGUCAACUGAAGGGUUAGAAUCGGUUCCAUACGUGGUUUCUCUGUUCAGCGCCAUGCUUUGGCUAUACCAUGCAUCCCUCAAGUCCGAGUUCAGAGCUUUCCUCAUCACGGUCAACUCGGUCGGAUGCGUCACUCUACCUUGCUUAUGCUCCUAAACAAGCCAGGGUACGUAGCUACAGCGUUGUUCGCAAGGAACACGCCUGAUGAAUUCUAAUUGUUGGAGACUGGAUGCAGAUGCUGACGCUGAAGCUGCUUUUGCUGAAUUUCGGAGGGUAUUGUUCCAUUCUUCUUCUGUCCCACUUCUUGGCGAAGGGAUCGGAGAGGGGUCCAACUUGUUGGGUGGAUUUGCGUUGCACUCUCCAUUGCAGUCUUCGCCGCUCCUCUAAGCGUCAUUGUAAUUUACUUCUAUAUGGCUCCUUGCUCUUUUUCUGCAUGAGAACGCUUGUCUUGCAUAAUAAUGUGAAACACAAGUUGAUCACGACAUGCAAUUAGGUUUCGACGUACAUAGAGUUUAUAUACGUGUGUGCAGAGAAUGGUGAUAUGCACCAAGAGCGUGGAGAUCAUGCCCUUCUCUUUAUCAUUGUUCCUCAUCCUCAGCGCUGUGACAUGGCCCCUAUAUGGCCUAUUCCUCAAGGACUUUUAUGUCGAGGUAUGCAUUGUUCAUCCACUUGUUAAAAAUCAAGAUGGCAAGGUGAGGCAAUACUAUCUUCGUUCCCCUGAAUGAACCAUAUUAACAUGUGUACGUGUUUGUACAGGGUCCAGAUGUAUUAGGAGCCACCUUUGGAGUGCUUCAGAUGGCACUGCAUGCCAUAUACGGGAAGGGGAAUACUAUGUGAUGGAGGAGGAGAAGAAUGAUACAAGUGUUGGGAAGCUGAGCUCUGAUAUACAAAGUUGCAAUGGGCAUGCCAUUGCCUCCGACAUAGAUACCAACAUCUUUGACGAGGAAAGAGAAGUGCGAGAGAAGCUUCAUCAUCUUUAUUGAAACUCCUGAUAAAGGACCAGUGGCCACUCCAUCUGAAGUUUGACAGGCGUCUGAGUUACUUAUAUGCCUGAUCAGACCUUUUUUUUCAGCAGCCCCUAGCUAGCUUGCUCGUUGCUUCUGCUAUGUAAUAUGUAAAUGGAACUAAUGAUUAAUUGAAUGGUGACUCUCACGAAUGGUGGGCACUUAAAAAAACGAGUCCCUAUUAACGAUAAGCAUUACACAUUGAUAGACUUGAUGAUAGCAUUUUGUUCUCUUACUGUAUACUUUCCUUUCUAUGACCUNNNNNNNNNNNNNNNNNNNNNNNNNNNNNNNNNNNNNNNNNNNNNNNNNNNNNNNNNNNNNNNNNNNNNNNNNNNNNNNNNNNNNNNNNNNNNNNNNNNNUUUACAUAUUACAUAGCAGAAGCAACGAGCAAGCUAGCUAAGGGCUGCUGACAAAAAAAGUCUGAUCAGGCAUAUGAGUAACUCAGACGCCUGUCAAACUUCAGAUGGAGUGGCCACCGGUAAUUAAUUUUCUCGUUCCUUCCGCGGUGGACUGUUGUUUGUGAAUGUUCAACUUGUUUUUCCUCAUAGCACAGUUAUCAGACGCAUUACUCUUUGCGAAAGAGAUUCAGCUACUCUCCGUUCUUUGCUGAUUGAUUGAUAUCAUCUACUUACCAGGUCAUGUGGUCCGUCCGCUCAUGAAACAUUUUUUUUCCUUUGAAAUCCAGCUAGUUAGGAUCAUGAGCUAAGAUCCCAGACACUCUGGGAGACCCUUUUAUAUUCAUUGAGUAAAUUUGCCUCUCCAUCAGAAUAUAACUGUGGUCACUUUAAUGCGUGCCCUGAGAUGACAUUAUAAGUUCUUACUCUGUGAUUCCAAUUAGAGAGAAGUGUGCUCAGGUGGGUAAUAAACUCACCCAGGAUAGCACGUACCAUUAGGCCCAGACUCAACCGGACCCUCAACCCAGUUACUACACAAAAUCAUAGUUAAAAAGUACUCCCAACACACCAUAGAUAUCCCUGAUACAAAACUGAGAGAUCAGAGGAACUUCCCCCUGAAAAAAAGUAAAAAGUAGUUCCUCAAUUAGACUGACAAUAAGAGAAUUGAGUCACAGCAAAAUGUUUCUUCUGUCAAGCGGGAUCAACAGUUAGUUCUCAUCCUACAAACAUGGACUUCAACGCUAGCAAUUCUACCGAUGAGGAAGCUCUCUUUUCUACAACCAAUGGGCAUGCACUCGGCAUUGGAAUACACACUAUUGUGGUAGUUGAAACAAUUUUCACAGGCUUGCAAUUUGCCUCGCACUGUAUCAGAUUCUUUCAAGGCUCUUUGGAAAAGUAAAUAGCUGCAUUAUGUGAAUUUGCUACAUUUUUCAAGCAAAUUUAGAAAAAAGCCUCAAGAUGAAAAUUUGGAAUGUUCUCAGACUAGCCAAGUGAUGCCCAAUCUGGAUAUGGGCACUCAUAGACCCAUCCAGGUCCAGAAUAUCGUAUGCAGUGCAGCCACAAUCCCUCCUCACUCCCAUCAUAUCUGCAUUUUGCAGACACUCAAAUCAAAUCUUAGGUCCUCUAUCGUACACACGCAGGCAAGGGUGUGCAACCAGAAUAUGAAUAAAGACAAGAACCCAAGAUGGGAAAAAGGAGGAACACUCACCCUUUUGGAGCUAAAUUCGGACAAUUCGUGCACAUAGGGUCAGUACUAAAUUCAAUGCAAGGCUCUUCUUCCUUAUCAUUCUGCCUGAUAUCAGAAACACUGGAUUCUGAUGACAAACCAACAGCUUUAUCAGCAACCAUUCCUUCAGCUGAACGAUUGGUCCUUUGUUCAGAAAGGUAAAGCAUGUCAUUGGCAAUUGGAUGGCCACUAAACUGCAAAUGGACUCGU
rnacentral:lncRNA from 1 species